rnacentral:lncRNA from 1 species
GCAAGGUCUAAAACCUGAAGAAGACUCAUCUGACAUAUUUCAUUUGGAAUGUGACCGGAAAAACUGUUUGAUCGAAGGCAGAGGAUUUUCAUAUUUGAGAGCUUUUCUCCAACCCAUGUUGGAAUACAUCCUGAAAGAUUAUUUUCUCCAAGAUCCAAGGAUAUCAAUUGGCUAGUCUUCUUCAAACUGGUAGGAAAUAUUCCCGAAAGCAAGUUGUUACGAAUUUCUAAUGACUGCAGCUCAGCCAAGGAACCCAUGGAUGGGGGGAAGUUCCCAACAAAAUGGUUGCUUUGUAAAUUCACUUCCACUAGAAAUGGCCAAUUAAUCCAACAAUCAGGUAUUUCUCCUGACAGAUUAUUUGAUGCAAGAUUGAGAAAUUCUAAUUGCAUUGGCUUGUCCUGAUUGUUACAUAAAAAAUCUUGCAUGGAUUCAGAGAAUGAAUUGGUUGAAAGGUCUAAGUCAUACACAUCAUUUGAAAGAUAGGGUAAUUUACCACAUAAGUGAUUUGUGCUUAGAUCAACAGUUUGGAUAGAUAUUGGAUUUUUUAUUGUAGUCACCAGCUCACCAUGGAUAUGAUUAUGAGAGAGGUUUAAAUACAAAACCUGAGAAUGUGCUUCCCAGAACCAAGUGGGAAUAGAAUCUAAAAUCCCCGUGUUAGACAGUCCAACAUAUUGAAGUUUGUUUUGUGACUGAAUCCACGAUGGAAAGUUGGGACCUAUCUGCCAUGAUGUCACAUCCAAAUAGAUAAGUUGAAAAUUAGGAAUCCAAUGAGGACCGACUUUUAAAGUGAAAUUGUUCCCUGAUGCAUCAAACGCCUUCAAACUUGUAAGAUUUGCAAGACCAUCUUCGUUGACAACUCCUUGAAAAUUAUUGUCAUUAAUAAAAAGCGAUGACAAUUUAGAGAGUGAUCCAAGACUUUCAAAUGGAUUUCCACUGAAUUUAUUAAUAGAGAGAUCGAGAUAUGUUAAAUCUAUCUCCCUUGAGUUGCGGAGAUUUCCCAAAAAAGUCGGAAUUGUUCCUUCAAGUUGAUUAUAUGACAAAUCAAGUCCAACAAGAGAAGUCAUAUUUCCCAAAGAAGUUGGAAUGGUUCCUUCAAGUUGAUUAUGUGACAAAUCAAGUUCGACAAGAGAAGUCAAAUUUCCUAGGGCAUCAGAAAUAGUCCCAUGCAAGUUGUUGUAACUUAGGACCAGAUACUUGAGACGAUGAAGACCGUAUAAGCAAUUAGGUAUAGAAGAUGAAAAUGAAUUGAAAGACAAGUCAAGAUUUUGAAGAAGUGAGAGGUUUCGAAUACCACAAGGAAUCGGACCUUGGAUUUCAUAAUUACCAGAUAAUUCAAGAGAAACAAGUUUCUCCAAUUUGAAUAUCCACUUGGGGACAAAAGAAAUGGCAGGGGAAUAAUGAGUAUCGGAAAGAUGGAGAGUUUGCAGAGAUGAGAAGUUGAGCAAGGAUGGUUCAUUAUAGUGAGGGAGUGUGCAGUGUGACAAAUAUAGGUGGGUCAAAGAAGGAAGAGAUUGGAGAGUGUGUAGCCAAUGAAAUGCUUUGGAUAGGUUUGCAUUACUCAAAUCAAGAUAUUCAAGCUUCCACAUACUUGAUACCCAUUCUACAUUUUCAGCUAACAGAGGUUCGACAUCAGAAUAACCUCCAAGGCAAAGAUAGAGCAAAUUGGAGAGAUUCCCAAUCUGAGAUGGAAUCUUCCCAUGGAAUCGAGUAUAAGAGAGGUCGAGGUGAGUCAAGAUAUUGAAGGGAUUGCCAUACCUUUUCCAAGUAAAUAAUUGCCGCUCAAGUCAAGAUAUUCAAGCUUAGAGAGAUUCCCGAUCUGAGAGGGUACUGUUCCGUUGGCAACAUAUCUCAUGUCAAGAUACACCAAAUUUGAGAGAUUCCCAAUCUGAGGAGGAAUCUUCCCACGGAAUCCAGUAUGAGAGAGGUUGAGGUGAGUCAAGGAAGUCAUUGUCCCAAGGAAAGAAGGAAUUGACAUACCUUCUCCAAGAAAUCUAUUGCCGCUCAAGUCCAAGUAAUUCAAAUGCUUUAAAUCAGCCAAACAAGGACUUAUCUCUCCACCAAAGCUCCAUCUCUGGUAAGCUUCCCAAUCGAAGUGAUAGUUGCCAUCAUAGAAAGCAGAAGGUGAAGUGUUGAGGUGAAGCUGAAGAAGAUGGGAAGUGACGUUGUGGCAGAGGACUCCAUACCAGUGGCAACAGUUGGUAUGAUUAUGAUUCCAAGACCAAAGCCUAUUGGAAGGAUCUAUGAGAUUAUUCUUAAACUUCAAAAGUGUCUCACGCUCACUUGGGAUGCACACACUCUCUCUGCAUGGUAAGCUCAACAACNNNNNNNNNNNNNNNNNNNNNNNNNNNNNNNNNNNNNNNNNNNNNNNNNNNNNNNNNNNNNNNNNNNNNNNNNNNNNNNNNNNNNNNNNNNNNNNNNNNNNNNNNNNNNNNNNNNNNNNNNNNNNNNNNNNNNNNNNNNNNNNNNNNNNNNNNNNNNNNNNNNNNNNNNNNNNNNNNNNNNNNNNNNNNNNNNNNNNNNNNNNNNNNNNNNNNNNNNNNNNNNNNNNNNNNNNNNNNNNNNNNNNNNNNNNNNNNNNNNNNNNNNNNNNNNNNNNNNNNNNNNNNNNNNNNNNNNNNNNNNNNNNNNNNNNNNNNNNNNNNNNNNNNNNNNNNNNNNNNNNNNNNNNNNNNNNNNNNNNNNNNNNNNNNNNNNNNNNNNNNNNNNNNNNNNNNNNNNNNNNNNNNNNNNNNNNNNNNNNNNNNNNNNNNNNNNNNNNNNNNNNNNNNNNNNNNNNNNNNNNNNNNNNNNNNNNNNNNNNNNNNNNNNNNNNNNNNNNNNNNNNNNNNNNNNNNNNNNNNNNNNNNNNNNNNNNNNNNNNNNNNNNNNNNNGGUUCUGCAUAUAAAUCAUCAAACUUCUAUUUUUUAUACUGCUGCCCUGCCUGUUUUUUUCUUCACUUUCAUUAUUUUUUACCUUUUUUAUUAUUGUGCCAAAUACUAAAAUAUUCUUCCAUUCUUUUUUUACGCUGGCCUCUUUAAAUUAUCGAUUUAAUUAUCCAAUUCUCCCGAAUUAAUUCUUAGAAUACGAAUUUUUUUGUAUUUACUGUAUCUAUCUCCCUUUUUAAAAUUCCUAUAUACACUAAAUUCUUUUAGGUACAGUUUUUUUUUACAAAAAUAAAUAAGAAUUAUUUUAUUUUAAUUUACUCUAUAAUACUGCUUAAGUGAAAAUUUGGUGUCAUUAAACUUCAAAUUUUAACUAUUAUUUAAUCAAUCUUUCCGUUAAACUUUUGUUACGUACAGAAGUCCAGCAUUUUUUUAAGAAAAACAUCAAGUCUUUUAUUUCAUCAAAUUUAAUAUUAAAUUAUCAAAUUUUCAAUAUUCAAACUAAAAAUAAUGUAAAAGAAAAUUGUCUUCUAAAUCAUAGCUUACACCAUCAAGUCAAUCUCAAGGUUUUCCAUUUUUUCAUCUUGAACCUUUGGACACUCCACAAAGUCCAGCCAUGAUGUUAAGGUCUGACUUCUUCAACUUGAACCAUAGGUCACUGCAUUACCUUCAUAUCAAGUUCCCUGUCAUUGACAACAAAUGUUGCGAGUUAAGUCAAGCAAGGAAAAAAAAUAUUAUUGAUGAAUAAAUCAAUUAUAGGAAAAGAGUUUACUUUAAAGACUAUUUUGGUUAAAAAAUCUAUAAAAAAAAUUAUUUCAUUCCAAGCUAGCUAUUUAAUUUUGAUCAAUUUUUCAAUUCACAAAAUAAUAUUCUUCUUAUAUGUGAAAAAGACCAAUUAAUCUUCAUUGUCAUUAAUGAUUGUUGUGUUGUCUAUUUCUAAUUGUUUUUUUAAUCAUAAUAUUAUUUUCUUUUUAUUAAAAAUUAAUUAGUGAGAUACAAAGAAGUUUAACUUGAUCUAUCAUAAUUAUUGAGAUCAUAGUUUUUCCUUUUAUAAGUCUUGGUCCAAAUUUCUCCAUGUAUUGUAAAUCAUAUUUAACUUAAAAAGUAAAUUAGAAGAUCUACAAAGAAGUGUGACAUGUUUUUUAAAUUAUAAAAUUAUGGUCCUAGCUAUUUAUUGUUAGACCACAAGUUUUCAUAUAUUAAAGUUUUUGUCUAAAUUUCAUUUAUGGUGAUAGUUUAAGAAUAGUGAUAGAAGACAAAAAUAAAUAUUCAAUUUAUUGAAAUAUCAUACUCAAUUAAUUGAUGAAUACAUCAAUUAUAGGAAAAUGGUGUACUUUAAAGACUAUUUCUAUUAAAAAAUCUAUAAAAAAAUUAUUUCCUUCCAAUCUAAUUAUUUAAUUUUAAUCAAUUUUUCAGUUCACAAAAUAAUAUUCUCUUAUAUAUGAAAAAAAGACUAGAUUUAAUUAUCAUCAAUUGGAAAAGUUAUUGUGUCAUGUAUUUAUAAUUGUAUUCUAACUUGAAUAUUAUUUUAUUUAUCAUAUAAAAAUUAAUUAGUUAUAUAAAAGAAGUAAAAAGAAUAUUAACUUUUUUCUCAAAAAAAAAUCAGUAUCAUAUUUUAUAUGUUUUACAAGUUAUCAACUUAAAUAAGAGGAGAAACAUAAUUUUAAUUUCCAUUUUACUUUUUAAAUAAUUGCAAGUGCCAAAUUUAAAUAAUCAUGAGAAUACUCACGUUCAACAUAAUAUUCUCAAAAAAAAAUCCAUACGAUAACUUAAACCAUCUAUAAAGAAAUAUAAUUUAUUCUUGUACCAAAUACUAAAACAAGAAACAUUUUUUUAUUUUAGUUUACCGUAUAGAAUUGUUUAAAUCAAUGAAAUUUUUAUUUUAAGAAAAUAUUAAUGAUUUUUUUAAAACUUUAAGUAAUUUACAUCAAAGAUAAUUAAAUUUGGCUUAAUUAGUCUUCAAAUUUUAACUAUUCUUUAAAUCAAUCCUUUCGUUAAACCCUGUACGUGUUAAGUAAACAACAAAAAGUCUUGUCUUAUAAAAUUCAAACAUUCUAUUACAUGCGGUUUGAACCCAUGAUUAAUUUUAAACUAUCAAAUUUUAAUUAUUCAAAAUAAAAGAAAUGAAAACAAAAUUGUCUCCUAGACAAACCACUGGCCACUCCACCAAAUCCAUAUCAAGGUCCCCACUUUUCCAACUUGAACCAUAGACUACUCCAUCAAGUCUAUGUCAAGGUCCUCCACAUGCAAUGUUAUAUGAUGUGAUUUUUUUCCCAUUCAAUGUUAUAUUUAGCUACACAUCAAAAUUAAUUUUAUACAAAAAAAUUUGCAUAUAGGUUGUUUUUAGUGAAUCAAAUUCUUUUUUAAUUCAAAUAGGGACAUUAGUUUUCGUAUCCGUUAAGAAUAAUUGAUACCUAAUUUAAAUAAUUGUAUUAAAUUCUAAUUAUAAAAAAAAUUCCGUAUUCAUUAUCAUAAAAAUAUUUAACAAUUUAAUCAUUAAUUUCGUAUUAUAAUUGAUACUUGACAACUAAUAUUUAUUGCACUUAAUUUCAUUUGAUAAUAACUGAUAUUUCUUCAAUCGCGUAUCAUUUGUGGCAAAACGAACAUCCAAUAUCAUUGGAGAACAAUGUUGAUGUAACGAUUAAUUCAUUGAGAAUCACAUGAAUGCAUUAAAUUCAGGAUAUUAAAUUUACAAAUAAUUUUAUGUUUUUCAAUUAUAUUUUAACAAUAAUUAAGAAAUAAAUCUAAAUCGUUCUACAUUUACAUUUGUUUAUAGGUAUUUGGGAUAUUGGAGAUGCUAUAUGCGAAUCUAAAUUUUGCUUAACACAAAAAUGUGGUAUNNNNNNNNNNNNNNNNNNNNNNNNNNNNNNNNNNNNNNNNNNNNNNNNNNNNNNNNNNNNNNNNNNNNNNNNNNNNNNNNNNNNNNNNNNNNNNNNNNNNNNNNNNNNNNNNNNNNNNNNNNNNNNNNNNNNNNNNNNNNNNNNNNNNNNNNNNNNNNNNNNNNNNNNNNNNNNNNNNNNNNNNNNNNNNNNNNNNNNNNNNNNNNNNNNNNNNNNNNNNNNNNNNNNNNNNNNNNNNNNNNNNNNNNNNNNNNNNNNNNNNNNNNNNNNNNNNNNNNNNNNNNNNNNNNNNNNNNNNNNNNNNNNNNNNNNNNNNNNNNNNNNNNNNNNNNNNNNNNNNNNNNNNNNNNNNNNNNNNNNNNNNNNNNNNNNNNNNNNNNNNNNNNNNNNNNNNNNNNNNNNNNNNNNNNNNNNNNNNNNNNNNNNNNNNNNNNNNNNNNNNNNNNNNNNNNNNNNNNNNNNNNNNNNNNNNNNNNNNNNNNNNNNNNNNNNNNNNNNNNNNNNNNNNNNNNNNNNNNNNNNNNNNNNNNNNNNNNNNNNNNNNNNNNNNNNNNNNNNNNNNNNNNNNNNNNNNNNNNNNNNNNNNNNNNNNNNNNNNNNNNNNNNNNNNNNNNNNNNNNNNNNNNNNNNNNNNNNNNNNNNNNNNNNNNNNNNNNNNNNNNNNNNNNNNNNNNNNNNNNNNNNNNNNNNNNNNNNNNNNNNNNNNNNNNNNNNNNNNNNNNNNNNNNNNNNNNNNNNNNNNNNNNNNNNNNNNNNNNNNNNNNNNNNNNNNNNNNNNNNNNNNNNNNNNNNNNNNNNNNNNNNNNNNNNNNNNNNNNNNNNNNNNNNNNNNNNNNNNNNNNNNNNNNNNNNNNNNNNNNNNNNNNNNNNNNNNNNNNNNNNNNNNNNNNNNNNNNNNNNNNNNNNNNNNNNNNNNNNNNNNNNNNNNNNNNNNNNNNNNNNNNNNNNNNNNNNNNNNNNNNNNNNNNNNNNNNNNNNNNNNNNNNNNNNNNNNNNNNNNNNNNNNNNNNNNNNNNNNNNNNNNNNNNNNNNNNNNNNNNNNNNNNNNNNNNNNNNNNNNNNNNNNNNNNNNNNNNNNNNNNNNNNNNNNNNNNNNNNNNNNNNNNNNNNNNNNNNNNNNNNNNNNNNNNNNNNNNNNNNNNNNNNNNNNNNNNNNNNNNNNNNNNNNNNNNNNNNNNNNNNNNNNNNNNNNNNNNNNNNNNNNNNNNNNNNNNNNNNNNNNNNNNNNNNNNNNNNNNNNNNNNNNNNNNNNNNNNNNNNNNNNNNNNNNNNNNNNNNNNNNNNNNNNNNNNNNNNNNNNNNNNNNNNNNNNNNNNNNNNNNNNNNNNNNNNNNNNNNNNNNNNNNNNNNNNNNNNNNNNNNNNNNNNNNNNNNNNNUAAUUAUAAAAAAAAUCCGUAUCAUAUCAUAAAAUAUUUAACAAUUUAAUCAUUAAUUUCGUAUUAUAAUUGAUACUUGACAACUAAUAUUUAUUGCACUUAAUUUCAUUUGAUAAUAACUGAUAUUUCUUCAAUCGCGUAUCAUUUGUGGCAAAACGAACAUCCAAUAUCAUUGGAGAACAAUGUUGAUGUAACGAUUAAUUCAUUGAGAAUCACAUGAAUGCAUUAAAUUCAGGAUAUUAAAUUUACAAAUAAUUUUAUGUUUUUCAAUUAUAUUUUAACAAUAAUUAAGAAAUAAAUCUAAAUCGUUCUACAUUUACAUUUGUUUAUAGGUAUUUGGGAUAUUGGAGAUGCUAUAUGCGAAUCUAAAUUUUGCUUAACACAAAAAUGUGGUAUGCAAGGAAAAAUCACAUUGAAAUAUUUUUAUCUGCCACUCCAAAUUUUAAAAGAUUUGUUUCAAAAUAAGGAUAUGAAGAACAAAUUAUUGAUUUUAGAGAACAUUUCCUCCAUGAUGUUUUCCUUUCCUUUAGGUGAAAAACAAAAAGACAUUUCCAAAAAUAAUGAAAGUGCAUCUUAUAUAAUGUUGUUUAUAUAGAGAAGUCUUUGAAAAUAUAAGUCAAGUACUAUUACAACAAACUAUUCUGUAUCAUAUAUCUCUUAUAUAUUUUCAUAUAAAACAUUUAUUAAUUUUUUAUUUAUUUCUUAGUAACAUGUACAUGAAAGUCAAACCAAACCGAAUCGAGGAUUUAUGUGGCAUUUAACUUUUAUCACUUUUUGCCCUAAAAGAUCACACUCUAAUCAUGUACCAAAAUUUUGUGGCGUACAAGAAAACUCUUCUAUUUGGGAACAGUCGAUCUUUAAUUGAACCUCUUUUGGCAAAUGGAACUAGCUUUGGUGUUUUGAAAAUCUCACUCACAUAUUUCCAAAUGUUACAAAAGAAUUUGAUUCAGUGGUUUUUACGAAUUCCUUGCUAGCCUUUUUUACCAAGUCAGGGAAUUUGCAUUGUUGUGCAUGAUGGCUGCCACAAGGACCCUUGUACCAACCCAUUAGUGCAAGGGGUUUUUUCUUAUGAGAAUUGAGAAAAAAAUUAUAUAUGUGUUUUAUUAAGGGAAUUCUAUUAUUUUUAAUUUUGAACUUGUAAUGUUUUUUGUUUCCCUCACAGAACAAGUGAUGAAACUCUUGAUCGACGCCAUACGUACGCCUACUUUGAUGCUCUUUUUUCACACCACUUUUAUCUUAAUGGUAUCUCAAGUUGACAAUCAUAAAUUAAAAUAGCUAACUAUAGUUGAUUAGUAGAGACAAACAGCUCAAAGAUAAAGAUCUUUAAGCCAUCAUUUUUUUUUCCUUUUCUUUUCUAUGAACUGUCAUUUCUUAUCUCUACAUGGAAUGUCUAGAAGUUGAAAAUUAUUUGAGCUUUCUUUACCUACUGCUUUCCAUUUUGGCGAACUGCUUUUCUUUCUCAUAAUGAACUUUCCACUUCCAAUGAUGGUUGAACAUUAAUAAUUCUUCAUCUAUUUUGUCUAAAAAUUUCAACUCACUUUUUGUGAGUGGUGUGAAUGUCAUGCAGACAAAUGAUAUCCAAGCUCCACUAUUUCCUUUCAUUGCAAGUUGUAAGCAGAAUGUAGAAUGUACGUAUAAUAAAAUAAUGAGAAUGGCAACUGCUAGUACUACUUAAUUAGAACAAAAGUAUCAAAAUUAAAACGAAAAUAACUUUGAUGCUGUUAAUAUAUGAGUUUAAUUUUGAUAGAUAGUGUAAAAUUUUAAAUUGUUAAUUAAUUAGUAAUCACCAAAUGAUUUGUAAAACAAUUACUAAAAAAGUUAUAGGAAAUAUAUAUAAUUAAUUAAUUGCAAAUGAAAGUGUAUUUAAAUUAAAUUCUUAAUUAACAUAUCCUUAUUGUGAUAUUUUGUAUAUUUUUUAUUUAAUUGAGACAGUGGAAUGAGAUCGCACUAUAAUUUUCAUCACGGGUGUGGUUGUCUAAUAUAAUAGGGAUGGNNNNNNNNNNNNNNNNNNNNNNNNNNNNNNNNNNNNNNNNNNNNNNNNNNNNNNNNNNNNNNNNNNNNNNNNNNNNNNNNNNNNNNNNNNNNNNNNNNNNCAGUGGAAUGAGAUCGCACUAUAAUUUUCAUCACGGGUGUGGUUGUCUAAUAUAAUAGGGAUGGUUGGUGAGGAAUUUUGGAAUGUUAGUUGGUUUUAGACUAUAUAUCCUCUUGUUCAGUUUUCACAUUCUCAUUAGAGUUAAGUUGCUUUUGGGGAAGAACUAAUGUCUUGAAAUUCCCUCUUCACCAGAAGCAGUUUUAUUGUGUCUUUAUCGAAGUCAUCUUCUCCAGAGACUUGCCUUUAACUUUGAAGAUAGGAAAUAGAUCAGUCAAACAUUGUUUCAGUUUAUUUGGAUUUUUUUUUAAGGACAUGUGAUUUUCAAAGACUUGUUACAACUCACAACCUUUGGAAUUUCUCUAUGCCUGGUUAACCCACAAUUUCGGCGCCUGUUGCGGUUAGGAACAUAGGCUAGCAAAAACACUAAUCGUUUCAAGAGAAAUGUUAACACACUUUUCUAAUAUAUUAUUUUUUAUUUUAAAAUUUAUUAAAAUAAAAAAAUUCAGCUGAUCUCAUAUUUAAUUUAGCAAAUUUUUCUCAUAUAUUAAGUCUUAGGUUUUUAAAAUUAUAAAGCUAAAACUAAAAUGUUUUACUAAAUGUAUUUUAAAGUAAAUUUUAUACACAAAAAUAUUAUGAUUUUAUAAAAAUUGUUUGGUCAAGGGAGACAUAUUGAGCCCUCCUAACUAUAAGCUACCCUGAGGGUUUCUAUCUUUUUUUUUCCCACUUAAUUUUUGACUUUGGCAGCAAGGGUUAAACCUACCACAUCUACAUGACUAUGUCUUACUUUCCAAUAAGUUACACCUAAAUAGCUAACAUAUUCCUCUUGCUCACGCACACUAUCUUUCGUAAACUUUUCACGAUCAUCUUUAUAUUAUCAAAUUCAUUUAAUUAAAUAUACAAUUAUCUUAAUAUUAUAAGCAACUCUCUGUAUAAUCAUGUAGUGUUUCUAAAUUGAAUGAGCCUAAAUCACACACUCCUGAAAAAAGGAUAAAAACAUAUUUAAUUUCAUUUAGUGUUUAAUAGUGUUUUGGUCUAUUUUUUUUGUUUUUUUAUAGUUAUUUCUUUUCAAAUUUGAUGACAACAUUGUCAUUGGGUCCUUCUACCCUUCACAUCAGCAAAUUGGACACUAAAGAGACUCGGUCAGAAACAAAUAACUACUAGGGGUACAAUAACAUGAGAGGAUUUAACACUUUUGGAGUAGGAAAAUGUACUUUAAGAAAAGAACCACGAGAAAUAGUAUAUAACUCUUUAGUGGACAAUUGGUGUUGUACAAAAUUGAAAUGAUCCAGACUAAGUCAACAAACUGGUCUUCUUCAUUGAACUCACAGUGAAACCACAGAAUUUAUUUUCAUCUACUAGUUUCCUUCCCAAUUCCCAUGUUUUCUAAAACAUAACACACUACAGAACCUUCUAAUAAAUUAAAACAAAAAAACCAAUAUUUUACAUGUAGCACCACAACCUAACAAUUUCUACCUACAACUUUUUCUAUAGACUAUAAUAUAAUCUAUCUCCACUCAUUCAUUCAUCAAGAUUGAGAAAUGGAUUCAAAUGUUUGUCUACCACACUUGCUAGUGUUAGCAAUAACAUUGGUAUUGGUUAGUCACGCAAUGGGAGAUUCAGCUCAAGACAAACAGAGAUGUGCAGAAUCCCUGACAGGUGUUGCAACGUGUCUGCCAUAUUCUCAAAGAUUGUUGCAGUGGUCUCACACAAGCCAUGAAGACCAACAAGAAGUGUGUCUGCCUUAUUCUCAAAGACAGGGAUGAUCCUGAUCUUGGCUUGAAGACUAACAUGACAAUUGCUGUUGGUCUCCCUUCUCUUUGCAAAACACCUGAUAAUCUCUCACAGUGUUCUGGUACGUUCAAUUUCUAAUUAAGCCUUCCUUUUUCUUAAAGAACACUACACUACAGUGUUAUGUUUCCAUUUUCUAUGCAAUGAAUGAUCUAUCAGUCUUGUUAGUUGUCAUAUAACAACUUAUGUUUUUACAUUCAGUUGAAGGAAGUUCCCAGAAGGAACAGAUGAAACGGCCUCAGCUAAGAAUAGUGAAUCUUAUAUCGGGAAGAGAUUCUUAGAAAGUUUGGUUGCAGUUGCAGGGCUUCUAAUUUGGCUUUCAUGAGCUUAACUCAUAUACUACCUAUAUAUUACCAUUUUCAUAUCACGUUGAACUGUAAACCAUUGAUUAGUUGAUACUGUAAAAAAUAUCUACACUCUUGAGUGUACUAAAUCUCUGACCGACUCCCCAUAGAUCUUAUUGCAAACNNNNNNNNNNNNNNNNNNNNNNNNNNNNNNNNNNNNNNNNNNNNNNNNNNNNNNNNNNNNNNNNNNNNNNNNNNNNNNNNNNNNNNNNNNNNNNNNNNNNNNNNNNNNNNNNNNNNNNNNNNNNNNNNNNNNNNNNNNNNNNNNNNNNNNNNNNNNNNNNNNNNNNNNNNNNNNNNNNNNNNNNNNNNNNNNNNNNNNNNNNNNNNNNNNNNNNNNNNNNNNNNNNNNNNNNNNNNNNNNNNNNNNNNNNNNNNNNNNNNNNNNNNNNNNNNNNNNNNNNNNNNNNNNNNNNNNNNNNNNNNNNNNNNNNNNNNNNNNNNNNNNNNNNNNNNNNNNNNNNNNNNNNNNNNNNNNNNNNNNNNNNNNNNNNNNNNNNNNNNNNNNNNNNNNNNNNNNNNNNNNNNNNNNNNNNNNNNNNNNNNNNNNNNNNNNNNNNNNNNNNNNNNNNNNNNNNNNNNNNNNNNNNNUAUUAAUUUUUUUAUUUAUUUCUUAGUAACAUGUACAUGAAAGUCAAUCCAAACCGAAUCGAGGAUUUAUGUGGCAUUUAACUUUUAUCACUUUCUGCCCUCAAAGAUCACACUCUAAUCAUGUACCAACAUUUUGUGGUGUACAAGAAAACUCUUCUAUUUGAGAACAGACGAUUUUUAUUUGAACCUCUUUUGGUAAAUGGAACUAGCUUUGGAUUACCAUGUGACAAAAAACUACUUUCCAAACUUUGGAUUAACCAAAUCUGAAAAGCGUUUCGUGUAAUAUUGGCUACGCAUGACUAAUUAACUUCUGAAACGGUCAGCUACUUCAUAACCUUUUGAUGUCAUUCUCCCCAACAAAAAACAAUUGCAACUUGUUACCUAGCAACAGCUUGAAUUGCUUGCUUUCUCACGCACUUAGUGACCCUAGAUGCUUGUGAAAUAAAUUGUUAUAACCUUCACUGUUUUUCAUCAAUAUUACCAAAAUUUCCUUAAAGUGUUCAAUAUUUCGUAAUCUUCAUAAUUAAUUCAAAAUUCUCAAAAGAUUAGUAUAUGACCUUUUUUCUUGUUUGUACUAGGAGAGGAAUAAAUGACAAAAAUUCAGAAAUUUGUGGAUUGCAAUUUGCUCAAAUGAUGUGUCUAUUAGUUCUUUGAAAUUUGUAUUGGUCAUAUUUAUUUUUACCUUUUAAUAGAUAUAUUGUGCUGUCAUCCCAAGAGAAGGAUCAAACAUUGAUGAUGCAGAGGUGCUAAGAUAUUGCAAGAAGAAUCUUGCAUCUUUCAAAGUCCCUGAAAAGGUCUUCAUUACUGAUUCUUUGCACAAGACUGCCACCGGAAAGAUUUUGCGUCGUCUUGUGGCAGAACACAUUGUCUCUCAAAUUUGAGCAACUGAUCAAGUCCUACUUUUGAAGCCUCCAUACCUGGCCAUACAUAGUUGGAGUCCACACACCAUAAAUUUCAACAAUAAUUUGGCAACUUGGCAUUUAAGAGGAGGGUAAUUCUGCAAAUGGUCUUUCAUUCAGGAUACAAUAGAUUGUAGUUUUCAAUGAUUCACGUGAAAUGUUCACAAUGUAAUGUUUUCAAUGUUUUAUAGGUCUUAAAUACCAAUAGCAGACAAGAUCAUGCUUAUGCUUUUUUGCUAUCGUGCUCCUGUUCCUUGCCACUGGUCUUGAUGAAGCCAAGCAUUGUCUCUUUGCCUUUUAAGUUGUACAUAGUUGCAAAACGGGUACAUGUGAAAGAAUCAUGCUUAUUAAAGGUAAGGUUGAUUUUAAAGUGGGCAUGCAAGAAUGCAUUCAUUAUCUCAAGUAAAUAAAUUCAAGCGAAUAUGUGAUUUGGAUUAGAGAAUAGUAUUAUCCAGUGCACACUAAAUUGGAGAGAUUCCCAACAUGUGGUUUCAAAACUAAAAGAACUUACCAACUAUUUGAAUUUUAAUCCACGUGAUCUAGCUAAUGUUUUCUAUCAGAGAAUUACAACUAGUUGAUCUUAAGUACAAAACUAUACUAAAUAUGCAAAUCUUUACAUCUAAAAACAGAAUUUAAAUAAGGCUCUCAAAUUUGAAGAAAAAAACGAAGAUAGCAAUGACUAAAAAUUGAUCAAUCUGCCAAUACAAUGAUAAAACAUCGGUUUAUUCUAAGCAACACUAAAAAGUGAUACUACAUGAGCAAAAAGAUUGAAAUUAUUGACCAUGCAGUAUGAAUGUACAGCAUUAUUUAUUUAAUUUUUCUAAUACAAUUUUAUUUUAUAUUAAUACACUAUAUCAUUAUGACAUCAACCCCCAACAUGAGUGGCCCAGUGGACAAGCCCAUCAAUCUAACAUGUCGGUUGAUAGCACUUGCAUAAACUUUUGUUCCUUGCAUCAUCUCAUGUGUCUCCAUUCUCCAUUCUCUGCUUCCACUAACGAUUAAACCUUAUUGAUUAGGGUUCAAUGAUUUUUCAAUGAAUAAAAUUAAUUUUAAAUUCUGAUUCUAACAGCUCACGUAUAGUCUGUUGAAUCAAAUGGAAUAGAAUCUUGAUAUCAUAAAGAAAAUUAAAAUUUGAUUCUUUGUGUAAAAUAAAGAAAUCUAAUUAAUUAUGCUUGUUAUGUUACUAUAUAUAUCAUUUUUCCGGUGUGGAGUAACAUCAAAAUCAAAGUAACAUAGUUACUUGCAUGUUACUCUAACCAUAAUUCUAGAUAAGUCGAAUAUGGUUUCAUGUUUUGUAAAACAAUUUAGAUCCCCUUUAUCAAAGUGUAUCUGUCUUUUACACAAGUUUUUUCACUUUAUUUUAUUUCCCCCAGAAUCAAUUGUUGUGUUAUUCAUACUAUUAAAUUAGUCUGAUAACUACCAUGUCGAUCAUUGUUAGUUUUGUUUCCACCAUUGUUCGGAGUACGUAUAUACUAUUACUUUAUGAUUAAACGUGUUACUUAAAUUGCAGAUAAAAACUCUUUAUAAUGAAGUACAAUUGUUUAUAACUACAACAAUUAUAUUGAGUCAAUUUAACACUCAUCAAAGGCAGAAAAGCUUUACUUUAAGAUUAGACAGAGGCUCAUACCAAUCAUGGCGGUGGUUAUAAUUACACACAUCAGCAACUGUAAAAGAUCUUGCACAGCCACAGAAAAAAAAAAUGCUUGAUGCACAUCUGAUAAACUCACUCAAGGUCUAUGUAUUAAUAGUGUAAAAGAGAGACUGAAUAUUAAAUGAUAAAAAUAUAAAAUAAUUGUUUUGUAUUGGCAGAGUACACAUAUAUAUGCCCAAAUGUAGAUUCAAAGUUCAAACAUUUUGGGCCUAGAUCAUCCCUCAUAGUCAUAGCCAUCUGAAUUGGAUCGACCCCACCCCAAGGUUUGUGUUGCAUCACUUGCAUGCAUUCACCCACCACAGUUGUUGUUAUAGUUUUCUCGUGAUUUUUGUAUUGGAAAAUACUAUGGACAAAUAUAAUUGAUACAGUCAUAAUUAGUUAUUGUCAUGUUGCAAUUACAAAGACUCCUCAAAGAAAAUGUUUAGUAAAUCAUGAUCAAGUAGAAAUUGCAAUGGCAAACUGUUUUUUAAAAUCUUAUUAGUCAGUUGUAUAAACCCAAAUUUAGUUAUAUCCAGGUAUGUAAUAUUUGCCAUUUUAGUGCUCUGUUUGGAAAUUUGCGUGUCGAAUUGUUUUUUUUAUACGUACCUACACAACACUCUUUAGCAAAUACCACUGUUCAUGGAGGAAUCUUUCCUGAAAGGAGUAUAGAACCAGAAACAAUAUGCGUGGUGGUAUCUAUCAUCUGUAAAAGAGAAAAAGUGGGAUACGUACAAUAGUAGGACUGUGACACUAGGGGUAGAAAUGAGCCGAGUAACUUGUCGAGGGCCUUUGGCUCGGCCUAUGUGAGGCUCGGCUCGGCUUAUUUACUAUAAAGGUUAAGCUCAAGCUUUUGAAAAAGUCUUUUUAGAUUAAAAGGCCAAGCCCAAACUAUAAAAAAAAAACUUGUUAAGCUUGACAAGCCGGCUUAUUUAACUACUACUACUACUAAUAAUAAUAAUAAUAAUAAUAAUAACUUUAUUUUAUCAAAUCUUAUCUUAUCCAGAUUUUAUUCCAUCUAGAUUUUAUUUCGUCCAGAUUUUAUUUCAUCCAAUCUUAUCUUAACUUGUCCAGAUUUUAUUUUAUUUCGUUUGUGGGCUUGGACUUAAAAUAGAUUUGUGAGCAUUGGGGCUGAGGACCUAUAUAACAGCACCAAGGUUUUAGUUUAGGGAGUUUUUUUUCGGAUAGGAGAAUAAUUCUAGGAUUUUAGAAUUCCAGUUUUUAUUACUGUUCAUGUACACUGUUCAUGUGGAAUAGAAUUCGUUUUCUGCAAUUUCGUUUCGACUUCAAUCUACAGUUUCAUUUCUACUAAUUAAUGGAAGGCUAAGUCUCUAGCAUUGUUUUCUCUUGAAGAUCAAGCAAAACUCUCUUUGAGGUUUUGUUAUUACUAUUGAAUACUAAUCAGUUUUUCCUCUUCACCCAUCACUUUGUAUUUGUUGCUAUUAAUCCAUGCAUGCUUAGUGCUUGAUUAAUUGUCUCUGCGCUUAAUUUAUGUUCAUGCUUAAUGAUCAGUUUCGUUCAUGAUUAAUUAGUGUAUGUGUUGUUUAAUCACAUAAUGACAACCUUAUGUUAAUUUUCGCUUAGUAAUUUAAUUUAGGGUUGGAUUAAGUAGUUGAACUGAUUAAGGAUAAAUUCUCGUAACCUAGGAUAAAAGACUUGCUUGUGAAUCAAGGGGAAACAUGUUUUAAUUAUGUUAUUUUCUAAUUCAAAUUUGCUUGUUGUUUAAUUUACAAAAACAAACAACCCCCCAAUUCGUUACUGUUUUAUUAUUAUCUGUUAUAAACGUUUGGUUGACCAUUGCUCGUUGGGAGACGACCUAGGAUCACUUCCUAGAUAUUGCAUUUUUAAUGUUUAUUUGAUUCGGGUAUGGCCUCGAUCAAUAGUAUAUAAGAUAUGACUUGAGUAGACUAAGAUGAAAUUAUUGUAGAUAUAUUUUUUAAAAAAAUAUUUAAUAUAAUUAUAUAUUCAAAAAUUGGAUUAAAAAUUGUUAAUUUAACUAAUAAUAAUUUUUGUUUGGCUAUAUUAGUGUAAAUCAUCUCUAAUCCAUACAUUUUUUAAUAUUAUGCUCUUUUUAUUUUCUUUUUAUAUACUUUGUGCUUUAACGACUUGAAUUCAAUAUGAUUUUGUUUAUCAAUUAUUUUUGGAUUUGUACAUUACUUAUACGAAAUUUUACAAGUUUUUUUUAGUUAGUAUUUCACUAGGUUUUAAAAUAAUUAAUUAAUCAAAGACGUCUUUAAGCAAACUUUUAAAUAGACUCGUGGGCUAAGCCAGACAUUUAUGUAAGCCGAGCCGAGCCUAAAAAAAAGCCUAUGACAGAUAAUGAGUCGAGUUCAAACCUUACGUAUUCAACUCAAGCCGAACUCAAGCCUAAUAAAGCUUGGCUUGGCUUGACUCAUUUUCACCCUAUGUGACACUACUAGAAAAAUCUAUGCACCUUUCAAGUCCCUAAAUUUAUGAACAAAAGAUUCAGGUGUCGUUUAUUGAAUUUGUUUUAUAUGGAGUGUAAAGUCAUAUCCAAUACUAAUAAGUGUAUGUUUAUAUAAUUCUUUUUAAAAUAAUUACUCUUCUUUAUUUACAUCUAAUAAAAAUGUUAUCACAUUAAUUCUUAAAAUAAGCUAAAUGAAGCAUGUUUCAUAAGAAAUUAACUUUUACUGUAAUUGUUACAUUUUUUAGUGACAAAGGGAGAUGGGUGAAGACGGUGAAGGAAAAAAAAAUGAAGAUAAUGUCUAUGUUGUUCAAAUAACAGUAUUAAUAGUAUUAAAAUAGUUAAUAUUAAAAAAUAAAUUAGUAAAUAUAACAACAAAUUGUUGUGUUGGUGCUAUUUAUUGUGCAUCAAAAUAUGUAAAAAUAAUAGUUAACUUGUAAUUCGUAUAGUUGGUAUGGGAUGUUUUAUCUAUCCUUGAUUUUGUUAUAUCACACAUAUAAUCAUUUAUAUAUAUAUGGGCUACUAUUGUCACUGCCAAAAAUGCUAUUGAGACUACCAAAGCAUUUGAAAUUACUUGGUUAUCCUUAGUUCCAUUUCCCCACACCUCCUAUCCUUCCCCUCUUUACGUUCAGCUACUCUCCCUCUUUACAUCCAAAAACAGAAUUUAAAUAAGGCUCUCAAAUUUGAAAAAAAGAAGAAGAUAGCAAUGACUACAAAUUGAUCAACCUGCCAAUAAUAAAACUUCGGAGUAUUCUAAGCAACACUAAACAGUGAUGCUACCUAAGCGAAAAGAUUGAAGUUUGAACCACACAUGAUCAAGGAAAUGAAAAUAGGCAUACCGCCAUGAUCUACAAAUCAGCAAAGGAGCAAUCACUAUCCAGAAUCCCACAAUAAAUCCAAUUGUCAUACUGACAAAAAACCAAUUCACUCCAUGCCCAUCACUUCCUUCAUAACUAUGGGUUUUCCCAUUGGAGCUGCAGUUUAUGGGCAGUGGUGGACCACAUAGAUUGUUGCCGAUGAAGCUGGAGGCAUCAAAGGUUUGCAAUUGAGUUCCUGUUGGAAUAUUUCCCUUCAAAUGAUUGUAAGACAAGUCUAGCAUGCUCAGAAAGCUCAAAUUUGCAAUGGUUGGAGGGAUUUCACCAGAAAGUUGAUUCCUCGAAAAAUCAAUGGACUGUAAUGAUCUCAUAUUACCUAUACCUUGUGGAAUAUGACCAAUCAAUUGGUUGUGGGACAUGUUUAAAAAAUUCAAUCCAUUUAGAUAUGUGAUUUCUCUUGGUAUUUCCCCUAAUAACUUGUUACUUGACAGAUCAAUGCUUGUUACCAAACCCAGAAAGUUUCUGUACUCAUCUCCUCUUCCUUUCAGCCAUAGUAGCACACUAACUAUACUAACUCUGGAAGAGUAAUCUGGACUCCAAGGAGCUACAGAAUAGAUACGAGGAUCUGUACUUUGGUUCAUUAGUGUCAUGGCACUCAAGUUACUGAAACAGCUCGGUAUAUUGCCAGACAGAUUGUUUCGUGCAAGGUCUAAAACCUGAAGAUGACUCAUCUGGCAUAUUUCAUUUGGAAUGUGGCCGGCAAAAUUGUUUGAUCGAAGGCGAAGGAUUUUCACAUUUAAGAGGUUUUCUCUAACCCAUGUUGGAAUAGUUCCUGAAAGAUUAUUUUCCCCAAGGUCCAAGGAUAUCAAUUGGUUAUUCUUCUUCAAACUGGUUGGAAAUAUUCCUGAGAGUGUGUUGUUACGAAUUUGUAAAGACUGCAGGUCCAAGGAACCCAUGGAUUGGGGUAAGUUCCCAACAAAAUGGUUGCUUUGUAAAUUUACAUCCACAAGAGAUGUCCAAUUCAUCCAGCAAUCAGGUAUCUCUCCUGACAAAUUAUUUGAUGCAAGAUUCAGAAAUUCUAAUUGCAUUGGCUCGUCCUGAUCGUUACAUAAAAAGUCAUUCAUGGAUUCAGAGAAUGAAUUGCUUGAAAGAUCUAACUGAAGCACAUCACUUGAAAGAUAGGGUAAUUUACCAAACAAGUGAUUUGAGCUUAGAUCAAUAGUUGGGACAGAUAUUGGAUUCUUUAAUGUAGUCCCAAUCUCACCAUGGAUAUGAUUACGAGAGAGGCUUAAAUACAAAACCUGAGAAAGUGCUUCCCACAUCUGUGUGGGAAUAGAAUCGAAAAUCCCCGUGUUAGAUAGUCCAACAUAUUGAAGUUGGUUUUGUGACUGAAUCCACAAUGGAAAGCUGGGACCUAACUGCCAUGAUGUCACUUCCAAAUAGGUAAGUUGAAAAUUAGGAAUCCAAUUGGGACCCACUUUUAAAGUUAAAUUGUUCCCCGAUGCGACAAACUCCGUCAAGCUUGUAAGAUUUGCAAGAUCAUCUUCCUUGACAACUCCGUGAAAAAGAUUGCCGUCAAUAUGAAGAGAUAACAAUUUAGAGAGUGAUCCAAGACUUUCAAAUGGAUUUCCACUGAAUUUAUUCAUAGAGAGAUCGAGAUAUCUUAAUGAUGAAAGUUUUCCAAAUGAUCUAGGAAGAGCAUCACCAAUUGAGUUGUUGGAAAAAAGUAACGUGUCAAUAUUUUUAAAUGCCCCAAUAUGAUCUGUCAGAUUGCCUGAAAGUCGUGAACUCUGAACUGCAAGUGUUGUGAGUCCAUGGGAAAUACAAGGAGCAAGAAUUUCUAAAAGUUCAUUAACCUGUUGGUUGAGUUUGAGAUAUGAUAAAUCUAUCACCCUUAAGUUGCAGAGAUUACCCAAAGAAGUUGGAAUGUUUCCUUCAAGUUGACUAUAUGACAAAUGAAGUUCAACAAGAGAAGUCAAAUUACCCAAAGAAGUUGGAAUGUUUCCUUCAAGUUGAUUACCUGAUAAAUCAAGUUCAACAAGAGAAGUCAAAAGAGAAGUCAAAUUACCCAAAGAAGUUGGAAUGUUUCCUUCAAGUUGAUUACCUGAUAAAUCAAGUUCAACAAGAGAAGUCAAAUUUCCCAAGGCAUCAGAAAUAGUCCCAUGCAAGUUGCUGGAACUUAGGUCCAAAGACGUGAGACGAUGAAGACCGUAUAAGCAAUCAGGUAUAGAAGAUGAGAAUGAAUUGAAAGAAAUGGCAGGGGAAUAACUAGUAACGGAAAGAUGGAGAGUUUGCAGAGAUGAGAAGUUGAGCAAGGAUGGUUCAUUAUAGUGAGGGAGUGUGCAGUAUGACAAAUAUAGGUGGGUCAAAGAAGGAAGAGAUUGGAGAGUGUGUAGCCAAUGAAAUGCUUUGGAUAGGUUUGCAUAACUCAAAUGAAGAUAUUCAAGCUUCCACAUAUUUGAUACCCAUUCUACAUUUUCAGCAUGAUAAUCACCUCCAAGUCCAAGAUACACCAAAUUGGAGAGAUUCCCAAUCUGAGAUGGAAUCUUCCCCAUCACUCCAGUAAGAGAGAGGUCGAGGUGAGUCAAGGAGGUCAUUGCACAAAGGAAAGAAGGAAUUGCCAUACCUUCAAAAUAAUUGGCGCUCAAGUCAAGAUAUCGAAGCUUAGAGAGAUUCCCGAUCUGAGAGGGUACUGUUCCGUUGGCAAAAACAGAACUCAGGUCAAGAUACACCAAAUUUGAGAGAUUCCCAAUCUGAGGAGGAAUCUUCCCACGGAAUCCAGUAUGAGAGAGGUUGAGGUGAGUCAAGGAAGUCAUUGUCCCAAGGAAAGAAGGAAUUGACAUACCUGCUCCAAGAAAUCUAUUGCCGCUCAAGUCCAAGUAAUUCAAAUGCUUUAAAUCAGCCAAACAAGGACUUAUCUCUCCACCAAACUGGGAUCUCUCAUAAGCUUCCUCAUCGUAGAAAGCAGAAUCAUAGUAGUCAUAAUAGAAAGCAUCAGAAAGUGAAGAGUUGAGGUGAAGCUGAAGAACAUGGGAAGUGACGUUGUGGCAGAGGACUCCAUACCAGUGGCAACAGUUGGUAUGAUUAUGAUUCCAAGACCAAAGCCUAUUUGAAGGAUCAUUCAGAUUAUUCUUAAUCUUCAAAAGUGUCUCACGCUCACUUGGGAUGCACACACUCUCUCUGCAUGGUAAGCUACAUAACCAAAGGUGGAGAAAGACAAGAAUAUAAAUGGAGGAGGAAUUCAUGAUCAUGCAAGUGUUGCUUCUGCAUAUUAAUCAUCAAACUUCUAUUAUUUAUACUGCUGCCCUGCCUGUUUUUUUUCUUCACUUUCAUUGUUUUUUUUACCUUUUUUUAUUAUUGUGCCUAAUACUAAAUUAUCGACUUAAUUAUCCAAUUUUCUCGAAUUAAUUCUUAGAAUACGAAAAUUUUUGUAUUUACUGUAUCAAUCUCCCUUUUUAAAAUUCCUAUAUACACUACAUUCAUAAAAAAAAUCAAAAUUAAUAACAAAGAAAUAUGAUUUAUUCUUGUGCUGAAUACUAACAUAAGAAACAUUCUUUUUGGUACAGUUUUUUUUUUUUUUUUACAAAAAUAAGUAAGAAUCAUUUUAUUUUAAUUUACCCUAUAAUACUGCUUAAAUGAAAAUCUGGUGUCAUUAAAAUUCAAAUUUUAACUUUUAUUUAAUCAAUCCUUUCGUUAAACUUUUGUUACAUACAAAAGUCCAAUAUUUUUUUAAGGAAAAAUCAAGUCUUCUAUUUCAUCAAAUCCCAACCCAUGAUUAAUAUUAAAUCAAGUCUUCUAUUUCAAGCCAUGAUGUUAAGGUCUGACUUCUUCAACUUGAACCAUAGGUCACUGCAUUACCUUCAUAUCAAACAAAUGUUGCGAGUUAAGUCAAGCAAGGAAAAAAAAUAUAAUUGAUGAAUAAAUCAAUUAUAGGAAAAGAGUUUACUUUAAAGACAAUUUUGGUUAAAAAAAUCUAUAAAAAAAAUUAUUUCGUUCCAAGCUAGCUAUUUAAUUUUGAUCAAUUUUUCAACUCACAAAAUAAUAUUCUUCUUAUAUGUGAAAAAGACUAAUUAAUCUUCAUUGUCAUUAAUGAUUGUUGUGUUGUCUAUUUCUAAUUGUUUUUUUAAUCAUAAUAUUAUUUUCUUUUUUAUUAAAAAUUAAUUAGUGAGAUACAAAGAAGUUUAAAUUGCUUGUUUAGCUUGGUCUAUCAUAAUUAUUGAGAUCAUAGUUUUUCCUUUUAUAAGUCUUGUUCCAAAUUUCUCCAUGUAUUGUAGAUCAUAUUUAACUUAAAAAGUAAAUUAGAAGAUCUACAAAGAAGUGUGGCAUGUUUUUUAAAUUAUAAAAUUAUGGUCCUAGCUAUUUAUUGUUAGACCACAAGUCUUCAUAUAUUAAAGUUUUUGUCUAAAUUUCAUUUAUGGUGAUAGUUUAAGAAUAGUGAUAGAAGAGAAAAAUAAAUAUACAGUUUAUUGAAAUAUCUAACUCAAUUAAUUGAUGAAUACAUCAAUUAUAGAAAAAGGGUGUACUUUAAAGACUAUUUCUAUUAAAAUAUCUAUAAAAAAAUUAUUUCGUUCCAAUAUAAUUAUUUAAUUUUAAUCAAUUUUUCAGUUCACAAAAUAAUAUUCUCUUAUAUAGGAAAAAAAUACUAAAUUUAAUUAUCAUCAAUUGGAAAAGUUAUUGUGUCAUGUAUUUUUAAUUGUAUUCGAACUUGAAUAUUAUUUUAUUUAUCAUAUAAAAAUUAAUUAGUUAUAUAAAAGAAGUAAAAAGAAUAUUAACUUUUUUUCUCAAAAAAAAAAUCAGUAUCAUAUUUUAUGUUUUUUACAAGUUAUCAACUUAAAUAAGAGGAGAAACAUAAUUUUAAUUUCCAUUUUACUUUUUAAAUAAUUGCAAGUGCCAAAUUUAAAUAAUCAUGAGAAUACUCAUGUUUAAUAUAAUAUUCUAAAAAAAAAAUCCAUACGAUAACUUAAACAAUCUACAAACAAAUAUAAUUUAUUCUUGUGCUAAAUACUAAAACAAGAAACAUUUUUUUAUUGUAGUUUACUGUAUAGAAUUGCUUAAAUCAAUGAAAUUUUUAUUUUAAGAAAAUAUUAAUGAUUUUUUUAAAACUUUAAGUAGUUUACAUCAAAGAUAAUUAAAUUUGACUUAAUUAGUCUUCAAAUUUUAACUAUUAUUCAAAUCAAACCUUUCGUUAAGUAAACAACAAAAAGUCUUGCCUUAUAAAAUUCAAAUAUUCUAUUACAUGCGGUUUGAACCCAUAAUUAAUUUUAAACUAUCAAAUUUUAAUUAUUCGAAAUAAAAGAAAUGAAAACAAAAUUGUCUACUAGAGAAACCGCUGGCCACUCCACCAAAUCCAUAUCAAGGUCCCCACUUUUCCAACUUGAACCAUAAACUACUCCAUCAAGUCCAUGUGAAGGUCCUCCAAUUUUUCAUCUUGAACCUUAGGACACUCCACAAAGUCCAGCCAUAUUAAGGUCUCUGACUUCUUCACCUUGAUCCAUAUCCCAUAGGCCACUCCAUCAAUUUCAUGACAAUGUCCCCCCACUUCUUCAACUUGAACCAUAGGUCACUACAUUACCUUCAUAUCAAGUUCUUUAUAAUUGACAACAAAUGUUUAGAAUUAAGUAAGGAAGGAAAAAAUUAUAAAUGAUGAAUACAUCAAUUAUAGGAAAAGAAUCUAAUUUAGAGACUAUUUAGAUUAAAAAAUCUAUAUAAAAAAAGAUUAUUUUGUUCAAAUUUAGUUAUUUAAUUUUGAUUUAUUUUUUAAUUCAUAAAAUAAUAUUCUUCUUAUAUGUAAAAAAAGACUAAUUUUCAUUGUUAUUAAUUGGAAAGAUUGUUGUGUCGUUUAUUUCUAAUCGUAUUUUAACCUGAAUAUUAUUUUAUUUUCCAUUAAAAGUUAAUUAGUGAGAUAUAAAGAAGUGUAAAUUGCUUGUUUAACUUGGUCUAUCAUAAUUAUUGAGAUCAUAGUUUUUUCUUUAAUAAGUCUUGGUCCAAAUUUCUCCAUGUAUUAAAAAGUAAAUUAGAAGAUCUACAAAUUAAGAAGUGUGACAUGUUUUUUAAAUUAUAAAAUUAUGGCCCUAGCUAUUUAUUGUUAGACCACAAGUCUUCAUAUAUUAAAGUUUUUGUCUAAAUUUCAUUUACUUAUGUGGUGAUAGUUUAAGAAUAGUGAUAGAAGAGAAAAAUAAAUAUACAAUUUAUUGAAAUAUUUAACUCCCGUGUGCGAAUUAGUCAAACUCCCUUGUCACUAGGUCCAUCUUGUGAUUAAAAAUAUAAUCAAACAAUUCAAUAAAACACAAGUCUAAUUGUCGCUAUUGUAAUUCAAAUAUUGCAUUAUAUUUUUUAUGUUAAUAAAUUUUUUAAAAAAGAUUGGUGUUUUUAGUAGAAUGAAAGUAAUUAAUAGAUUGAUUUCAAUGCAUUAAUUGAAUUCUGAUUUGACUUUUAAUUAAAAAACUGCAUAUAAAUGUUUUUAAAACUAUUGUGUGGUUUCCCUGGAAAAUAUUUGAAUUUGAAAAGAUUUUUUUUAUGAAAUUAAAAUUAAAGAUCAAAAAUAUAAAAGUUUAAAACUAUUGUGCGAUUUUGGUCUAUUGUCAGUUCCAAUUGGGAGAAUUGGAUUGGAUCCACUAGGCAUUGCAAUUUCAAUCCCUCCAUCCAUCUUACUUUGAAUAUUUAACAGAUAUUUACUGGCAUGACACUAGAUGAAAGGUAGAUAAUAUGACAACUAUCAUGUUGCCUAACACAUACUGAACUAAACUUUUGAUCCCUUAGAAUAUUGCAGUUAUAAGGAAGCAGAAGUGAAUAAGCCACAUCUAAGGGACCAAAUUAAACUUACAAAAUUAUAAUACCUAAUUUACGUAAUGCAUGGAGAUCAAAAGUGAAAUGAAACUAAAUAUAAAUUAUGAGAGCAUUCUAAAUCUGUCUUCAUUGUCUGAGGAGCAAAAGGACCUGACAAGUGUUUUGUAUUUUUUUUUUGUACAUGCAUAUAUAGUGUAUAUGCUAUUCUUUUUUUCUAUUUUUUCCCCCUACAUUUAUGAUCUCGGAACUGAAACAGUGAGAGAAACCGAUGUGAAAAUAGAUAGGGUGGAUGAAGAACUAGACAUCGGCCAGUGGAAGAAAAUGAACAGAUGGAAAACCAUCUUUUUGGGUAUUUCCCUAUUUCUUUUAUAAAGAUACCAGCUCCUCUCUCUCUAAUAGACACACUGGUGAUACAGGUGUGAUGGAAACCCUAUAUCUGAUAGCUUGAAACUUUAUUUUGUAUGCGGGAAUUCAAUACAACUAGUGACCCUUGUAUAAAACGAUAGGAACUAAUAUGAAUAAAAAAAUAAUAUUUCAUGAUUUUUAAAAUUUAAUCAAUCAUGAUUUGUCAAAUGAACUUGUUAAUGAGUAUUAUAGAAUAAGUGCAUCAAUACUCAGGAAAUGGGAAUGUGGAAUGUAUCAGAGUAAGGAACAGCGAGAGGGAAGAUGUGGAAGAGCUUAGAAACUGCAGAAUCCUAUGCAAGCUCCAACUUUCUACACUAAUUAAAUUCAUUCAGGCAAAUUCUUAGUUACAUGUUGUGUAAAACAAUCUUCUUAAAUCCAAUCACCGAGUGUGUCAUUUCAGUUAUUUUAAUGCUAAUCAUUGUUAGUGCACAGAUAGUAGAAGACAAUAAUGCGUCAUAAAUACAAAACAGAAUUUGAUACUCAAGUCUCAAGCUCGUCUAGUUCUCUUAACAUUAAGAACAUUUAAUACCAAUGAAAGCAAAACAGACAGAACACCACAGAUGAACAGGUACAUAGUAUGGUAAACCUUUUCACAUUUUUAAUGGCUAGACUAACACGUUGUAAUGUCUCACUUCUUAACAGUUAACAGGUAAACUCAUAAUUUCCCAAGUAACCUUCUUACCUUCAAAACUAUCAUCACAUAAAUCAGAUCUCUCAAGUGGUCAAGAUAAUGAAAAUAAGCAAGCCUCCAAGUUCUGUUGAAGAAAACAACACUGCAAAAACCCCAAAAUCCUGCUGCAAAUCCAACUCCCAUACCGAUAUAAAACUCUGAUGUUCCAAAGAAAUUACCAUCACCGUGUCCAACAGAAGCACUCUCCCUCAACCAUUCCUUGUUUGUGCAAUUUUUUGUUACAGGAGGACCACAAAGCUCAGGAUUUCCAGUGUAGCUAAGUUCAUCAAAGCUCUGAAGUUGGGUGCUCGUGGGAAUUCUGCCUGAUAAGUUGUGGUAUGAUAGAUUCAGGAAACUGAGGAAGGACAAAUCAGAUAAGCUUUGAGGGAUUUGACCUGAAAUGUUGUUUAGCGAGAGAUCAAGGGAUUCUAACAAUUUCAUUUUUCCCAUGUCAUUUGGUAUCUCUCCAGACAGAUGAUUUCUAGACAAGUUCAAAAACCGCAAAGCAAAUAGCUUGGAAAUUUCAGAUGGAAUUGCUCCAGACAGCUUAUUACUUGAAAGAUCAAUCAUUCUCACCAAUAUCAGAUUGUCUCUGUACUCUAACUCAUCUUUUUUGGGAACUAAGACAAGAGUUUCCUUGUAGUGGUUAUAACUGAAGUCAGAGCCAUAUGAAUAACUUGAAGGGUUUGCAAAGAAGUCAUCUUCACCAGCCAUUGUUUUCAUGUCAUCCAAACAAUUUGGAAUGGAUCCUGACAGGCUGUUAUUGCCAAGAUCCAGCACUAUAAGGGAAGAAAGUUGACACAUCUUUUGAGCAAUGCUGCCAUUGAAAUUGUUGGAUCUUAGACGAAGAACCAUUAGAUAUUGCAUUUCCCACAUCCAAUCUGGUAUUGUGUCAGAAAGUUGGUUAUUUCCCAUGUCUAUGAAUUUCAUUGUAGAGCAAUUUUGCAGUGUUGAAGGAAUAUAUCCUGAGAAGCGGUUGUCGUCUAACAGCAAAGACUCAAGUUGAGACAGAUACCCCAUGGAGUUUGGAAUUUCACCAGACAAAUUGUUACUGCCCAAGUUCACAUGCACCAAAGCUUGCCAAUGCACCCAACAGUGACCAAGAUCACCAGACAAGACAUUAUUUGAAAAAUCAAGCACACUUAACUUAUUAGUAGCAUUUGGAUUUCCACAUAAAAAGGGAGAAAUUGUUCCGGAAAUUGAGUUAUUGGCAACAUUCAGCACUUCAACAUUUGCAGACACACUUGGCAAUCUACCCUUGAACAAAUUAGAACUCAAAUUUAUCACGCUGGAAUUUAGAAAGAUGUUAGAUAGGUCUCCCCUUAACAGAUUGUUUGACAGAUCCAGGAAUUCAAUUUGCAAAGUCCAAAUCCAAAACCAACUUGGAACCAAGUCUGCAAUACCUGCCUUAGACAUUGUCAAAACCUUCACAGAACUUUGCCUUUUUAGCCAUUCUGGAAACUUAGGACCUAUUCCAAAGGAGCUCAGUAAAACAUAUUCAAGCUGAAAAGGAGGAGCCCAUCCAGAGUUGACACUGAGGAACAAGUUUGUCCAAGACAAACGUAGUUCCUUUAAUGUAAAAAGUUUUACAAAAUUUGACUCUUUUAUAGAUCCUUCUAACAAAUUAGAUGAAAGGUCUAACGUCACUAAAUUUGAGAGUGUUCCAAGAGUUACAGGCACAUCACCAGUCAAAGAAUUAGCUCCAAGAUUUAAUACCUGCAGGUUUUUGAGGAACUCAAAACUCUUAGGAAUGGUUCCAUUCAGUCAGUUGUGAGCAAGGUUUAAAGUUCUCAAGGAUGACAAGUUUGCAAAUGGUGAGGGAAUUGGACAAGUAAAGGUAUUAUUACUGAGAUCUAGAACUUCAAGAUGCUUAAGCUGGCCUAAUGAAUCUGGAAGUGGCCCACUGAGUUGAUUGUUCUGCAGGUCUAGAUUUUUUAUGUUCUGUAGGCUUGAUAUUAUUUGUGGAAUUUCACCCUGUAAAAGGUUACUGUGUAAAUCAAGUUGGACAAGAGUUUUGCUGAGAUUAAAUAGCCAUGAAGGGAUUUGCUGAUUGAGAUUGUUAUUUGAAAGAGCAAGGACUUGGAGAUGUGUGAAGUUGGUUUUUCCUUUUGGUGGUCCUAAGUUAUCAAUUUGACAGCUCUCCAAGUGUAGUUCUGAAAGAGAUGGAAGUGCACUCAGUACUUGAAGCCAGUUACCUUGUUUAUGAAGGUCUGAACCACUCAAAUCAAGGUACUCCAAGGAAGAUAGCCUUGAUAUCCAAUUAAGGUUAUCUAUCUGAAGAGCAUAAUUGUAUCCAAGAUUAAGGUGCUGCAGGUUUGAGAGGUUUCCUAGUUGAUGAGGGAUUAAUCCCAUGAACCCACUUAAGCUAAGGUCCAAGUAUCUCAGACUCUCCAAUGAGCCUAGGAAGCUUGGUAUUGGAGUAAGAACAAAAUAAUUUGAACUCAAGUCCAAAUGAUUCAAAUAUUUUAGUCCAAGCAAAGAAGGACUAAUCUCUCCAAUCAACUCCCUAUAGGGAGAGCCCACAGGUGUGUCCAGAUUGAUUUCCAUGACUUGACCAGUGUUGUUGCAGGGAACCCCUGGCCAUGUACAGCAAUCCGAUUUGUCAGACCAUGAUGAAAGCCUGUUUGAAGGGUCUGCUAGUCCAUGCUUCAAGCUGUGGAGUGCAUUCCUUUCCUUCUCACUGCAAGUCAUAUUGAGCCUUGCUGCCUUGCUUGCACUGAAGUGGAGAGUUGUUGCAGUGGACAAUAUCAAGAGAAGAACAUGAGUUGCAAAUAGCACUGCCAUGAAGAAGAAGGAAGACGAAAAAGGUUGAAUCCACAAUUUUCUGGUUCACGGUUGGUAUUUACUACUAACAAUGCCUAUGUAUGAUAUAUACCGUAGAAGGGUUAGCAUUUAAAAUUUUACUCCACUAAUGGUGGUGGUUGCAAAAUGCACACAUAUGUAGAGGUAUAUAUGUCAACAACGAGACAUUUAGGAUUAAAAGUGUCUAACCACACCACCAUUAUUUUGCACUAGUUUAUUUUAUUUUGAUUUAAUUACUCUUUUAGUCCUUAUAGUUUAUUUUAUUUUGAUUUAAUUACUCUUUUAGUCCUAUAAUUUAAGACAUUCAUUUUGGUUUCUAUAUUUACAUUUUUGUUACCUUUUUGUCCUCGCGGGGAAGAUUCAACUCACACAUAAACAUGAACAAAAUUAAUAAAAAUAGGGAAGCAAGCUCAGGUACAACUGAAGUGUAAUGGAGGUAUGAGACAAAGGCACUACACAUUCCAUUAUUCUUGAGUCUGCCACCGACCUCUGAAAGCUUAGCAUUUGCCAAUUGCCAUGAUGUAAUCUCCUUCUUGACAGUCUCUCAUCAAGUUGGAGUGGUAUCACAGCAUUGAACUAAGUUGAUCGUUCCAAUGGGAUGAUGGUUUUGAUUGCUGCAGAUAAAGUGUGUGAUUGUGAGUUUCUGGUUCCAUGAGUAACAGAUCGAGGUGUGGUAGUUUGUGCCUUCAUGGUUGGGAUGAUGUUGCAGGUGCCGGUUUCUUGUUGAGAGAAAAGAUGAUCAGCCAUGUCUCGUGUGUGCAUAGGAGAGUGUCUUUGCCCUCUCCAUAACAUUAGUUUCAACAAUUGACUUUAGUCGAAACUUGAUGGUGAGAAUCAAAGAGUAAAAAAAAAAAAAAAUUCAACCGGGACUAAAAUAGAAUGAUUUAAACUAUAAGAACUAAAAAGAAAUAUUGUCCUAACUUUACAAAAGGAUAAUUAAACCUUUUAUUUUUUUUGUAAAAACAGGUUUGGAAUUUGCAACUUUGAAUUCUAUCUAAUUAAGCUCUCAGUCUUUCAUUUUUGCAACUCUAUUUGGGUAGAAAGAGAAGAAAUCUGGGCCUAACUCAAAUCUAAAAGCUAGUUCAUAGGGUGAGGAUUGCCCUCACCUUAUAAACUCUUUCUUGAGAUUAUCUCUAACCAAUGUGAGACUUGAAUUUUUUUUUUUUAAUUCACCCCUCACGUUUAACACUCUUUGGGCAUGGUGCGUAAUCCUUUUGAAUGGAUCUAGGAUAUACCAAGAAAAAAUUUGGGCCUAACGGAAAGAAACCAAGUUUGAAGAUACAACAUUUGAUACUAUAACUGUUUGGUGUUUUGAAAAUCCCACUCACAUAUUUCCAAAUGUUACAGAAGACUUUGAUUCAGUGGUUAUUACGAAUUCCUUCCUAGCCUUUUUUACCAAGUCAGGGAAUUUGCAUUGUUGUGCAUGAUGGCUGCCACAAGGACCCUUGUACCAACCCAUUAGUGCAAGUGGUUUUUUUCUUAGGAGAAUUGAGAAACAAAUGAUGUGUUUUAUAAAAGGAAUUCUUUUGCUUUGAAUUUUGAACUUAUAAUGUUUUUUGUUUCCCUCACAGAACAAGUGAUGAAACUCUUGACGCCAUACGUACGCCUACUUUGAUGCUCUUUUUUCAUUCCACUUUUAUCUUAAUGGUAUCUCAAGUUAAUUAGAAUGUACGUAUAAUAAAAUAAUGAGAAUGGCAACUACUAGUAGUACUUAAUUAGAAAAAAAACUAUCAAAACUAAAACGAAAAUAACUUUGAUGAUGUUAAUACAUGAGUUUAAUUUAGAUAGACAGUGUAAAAAUUUAAAUUGUUAAUUAAUUAGAUAUCACCUAAUGAUUUGUAAAACAAUUACUAAAAAAAGUUAUAGGAGAAUAUAUAUAGUUAAUUGCAAUUCUAAGUGUAUUUAAAUAGAAUUCUUAAUUAACAUAUCCUUAUUGUGAUUUUUUGUAUAUUUUUUAUUUAUUGAGACAGUGGAAUGAGACCGCACUAUAAUUUUCAUCACGGGUGUGGUUGUCAAAUAUAAUAGGGAUGGUUAGUGAGGAAUUUUGGAAUGUUAGUUGGUUUUCGACUAUAGCCUCUUGUUCAGUGUUAACAUUUUCAUUAGAGUUAAGUUGCUUUUAGGGAAGAACAAAUGUCUUGAAAUUCCCUCUUCUCCAGAAGCAGUUUUAUUGUGUCUUUAUCGAAGCCAUCUUCUCCAGAAGCAGUUUUAUUAGUGUUAUGUUUUUUUAUAUAUUUUUUAUAUUUAUUUCUUUUCAAAUUUGAUGACAACAUUGUCAUUUGGUCUUUCUACCCUUCACAUCAGCAAAUUGGACAAUAAAGAGACUCGGUCAGAAACAAAUAACUACUAGGGGUAAAAUAACACGAGAGAAUUUAACACUUUUGGAAUAGGAAAAUGUACUUUUUUUUAAGAAAAUAAAAUUAUGUUUUUAAUCCAUGAUUUAUAUUCGACUUUUUAUUUGAUCUUUUGACAAUUUUUUUCUUCAACGAAAAUCUCUAAUAUUUGAAAUCUUUUGCUUUAAAUUUCUAUCAUUAGUUAAAUAAUAAUGUAUCGGUUAAAUAUUCGGUAGAUUGUUGCAGUGGUCUCACACAAGCCAUGAAGACCAACAAGAAGUGUGUCUGCCUUAUUCUCAAAGACAGGGAUGAUCCUGACCUUGGCUUGAAGAUUAACAUGACAAUUGCUGUUGGUCUCCCUUCUCUUUGCAAAACUCCUGAUAAUCUCAGGGAUUACGUUUAGCCGCGACAGCAUUAGUGCACUGCAGUUAGUUAGGGGACAGAGAUAGUGCUUUUCCCAAAUUCUGUUAUCCUCAAAUUCUGUUAUUAUCUGCUAGAAAACAAUAAGCAGUGUAAAUUGAGAGGGAACUUGAAUAAGAUUAAAACAGAAGAAGCUGAGAAAACAUUUUCCCGUUGUUUUUGUUUUUUUGGAUUUUAGAACACUUAUUUUGGAUAGGAUUCUCCAAACUUAUAUAUUUUGGAUAAGAAAUUGAUUACUAAGUAGUCUAAAAUUAUUUUAUAAAACAGUUUCUUAACUGAGAAUACUCAGGCCCUAAAUCUUCCAAUUUUAGUAUAUUUCUAAAAAAAUCAGAAUAUUUGUGGUCUAAGUUUUAUGAUUAUCAAGCCUUUCAUUUUCCUUAAAGAACAAAAGAGUGUUACAUUCCAUUUACUGUGUAAUGAAUGGUCAACAAGUCAUGUACUUCAAACUUUUCUACUUUUCUCAUUCAUAACUAGACAAUAACACAUUUUAAAGGGGAAAAAAAGGGCAUCUAAAUCUGCCAAUUUUACUUUGUUUGUGUAUCUGUUAUCUCUGAGUUUUCAACUGCGAAAGUUAAAAAUAUUUGAGGUUUGAUUUUUUCUCAAGAAAUUCUUGUUUGAAACGAUUUGAACAGCACUUCUGCACUUGGAUCCUAAAUCACCUGAAGCUAAAGCUUUUAAUCAAAUUGGUCAGAAAUCCAAUGGUGGUUCUAUUAGUCCUUCGCCCACUACUUCUGGUAGUGAUCCUUUCAACAAAAUAUUUCAUUUUUAGAAUUUAUUUUUGACAUUGACAUUUGAGUUUCAAUGGUGUAGUACUAAAUUUUGCAUUUACUUUUAAUGUGUUCUUUUGUGCAUUCAGCUGAAGGAAGUUCCCAGAAUGGUAGAAACCAGGGGACAGAUGAAACGGCCACAGCUAAGAAGAAUAGCGCGUCUUAUAUCUGGAAGAGAUUGUUAGAAAGUUUGGUUGCAGUUGCAGGGCUUCUAAUUUAGCUUUCAUGAGCUUAACUCAAAUACUACCUAUAUAUUACCAUUCUCAUAUCAGGUUGAAACGUAAACCAUUGAUUAGUUGAUAGUGUAAAAAUAUUUACACUCGAGUGUAUUAAAUCUCUGACAGACUCACAAUAGAUAUUAUUGCAAAACCUUAUUGGAGAUUUAUUUUUGUGAGCAUUUUGCCUUUAAUCUCAUACAACUAAAUGCUUGUUACACAAAUCUUAUUGUUCAGUCCUAAAAGUCUUUUAUCUCUAAUAAGUAAUAACGACUUGUUGUAAUAGAAAUUAAAAUCUUAUUAUUUUUUUUAAGUACACUUGAGGAAAAUUUUGGUAUCCCACUUUUCAAUUGCUCAGUUCGUCCCCAUAUUUUCAAAUUUUACAAAUUUGAUUCAUUAGUUAACUUGAUAUCCAAUCUUUGAUGGAGAUGUUUAUGAGGCUAUAUGUGAAAAUAGAGUGUUGGCAUGGAUCUCAACUUUUAAUUCCUCAAUUUUGUUUGCCAUAUUUUUAAAAUUAUGCGAUUUUGGAGCAGGAGUGUUGUUUUUCAAAUAUACCAAUACUACUCAGGGAUUAUGCAUGGGAAUCUUCUUACAUGUAUACUACUAUGAAUUAUGUUGUCUGCUUAAAGUUGUAGCAGAAAAAUACAGGUAAUUUUGAAGAAGGGGAAAUGCAUUUCAGAAGAGAAUAAUUGAGAUAAUGUGGAACAUUUACCUUGUAGCAUUUCCAUUUUGAAAAAUAAUAAGUUUCUAACAUUACAAAAUUAACAAACUAAUUUUUUUUUCUCGUAAAGCCUACAACUCAUAUCCGUCAAGCAUGAUAUGGUUUCUUUAGCCAAGUACAAGAUAAUCUAGAUUCUACUUCUAUCCUCCCAAGAUAUUCUAAGAAUGAAUGAAUUAAGUUGAAUAUGGAAAAAAAAAAGUAUUAAGAUGUUAUGGUUUGAUUAUCCCACUAACUUUUCUCCCAUGAUUCAACUUGUUGAAUUGAGCUUUCCUUUCUCUGUAAUGUUGCAUACAAAGUUGGAGGAUCAAAAGGGACAGGCAUGGUGCAAAGGUCGGUAUUUGCAGGAACCUUGACCAAUGAUUCCAUCAUAAAUUUCUUUACUGAUCCUUCUGCUCCACAAACCAUUGACUCCACACAUAGUUCUGUAGCAUUAGCACUUAUGGAGGGUUUGUAUCUGAAGAGUUUAGCAUAUGAAUUAAGGAGAUGAAACAUGUAGUCGUACACGUAGUCCAUCUUUACCUCUUCUUGAAUGAAUUGAAAUCACUCGCCACCUUGCCAAUUUGUUGUGCCUGAUAAAUUUCACAAAUAGAAAUGAAAUGAAACAAGUUAAACAUUGAGAAAGUGUUGUUUAAUUUAUUUAUUUCCUCCAAAAAAAUUUGCAUUAGGAGGUAAUUCUUGUUUAUUAUUUGUAUAAGCUCACAUUUUAGUAUAUAGUAUAUCUGCAUAUGGAUUGUGCAAUGAUGUAAAGGAUGAAUCAUUGAUUUGCAUAUAACUAUUGACCCUGAUUAAUAUUAAGUGAUUCACCAUUAAAUCAAAUAUUCCGAGGUGAAUUCUUUUAGGAUUAAUUAACUUGGUAAGAAUUAUAUUCUAGCCUUAGUGAAGAAGCAAAACUUCAAGAUUACCCUUUGCUUGUGAUUAUUUCCCCAAUCCACAGCAAACUUAAUGGAUCUGCACUUGUCAUCGUCCUUUAUGGGCCAAUAGUGGUGCACUGGAAUCAGUCCUCUUGUGAAAAAAUCAUAGUAUUUAGGUUUUACAAGUAGAGUGGUAGAGUCACAUGACAGAAUGUAUUUUUGACUGAUGACCAAGCAGAACCUUCAAUGUACACCUUAUAUCUGCACGAUCAUGAUUGAAUAGGAACAUUUAUUUAUUGAUAAACUGAACAUAUAUAUCCAAUAACAAAAAUAUAUUAUAUAAUUAUAACUGAAGCAUGAAUGGACAGUUUGAAUGUUAUACCUAUAAGUGCAUUGACUAGGCAAGUCUGAUUUGUUGAACCCCUCUUGUGAUUCUCGAAACCAAUCCUGGAACAAAAUUUUCAUUUGUCAAGAAGGAAGCUAUAUAUGUGGCUUUAUUGUGAGUCAAUUAACAGACAAAAUAUAUUGUCCAGAAGUAAAAAAUCAGUAAUGUUCAAUAACAGGUUAUUUCCUUUGAUUUUGAAUGUACUUUUAAGUUGUGUAUUAAUAAAAGAUUAAAAGUUAAAAAAGUGUAUAAUGUUAUAUACAAUAUUGAUACUGGCCAUUGUGUUGCUUGAAUUUGCCUGUUAUUUCUAGUUUCUGCACACCAUGUGCUUAAGCCAAUUUUAUAUAAUGAAACUUUUGCUUAUGAGAAAUAUUACAUACAAAAUUAAUUUUUUCAUAUCCAAAUAAUAAAACUACUUUCAAUAAGUGUAAUCAAACAAAGCUAAUAAGAAGUGUGAUACCUGGGCAAAUAAACGAGCAUUCCAAUCUUGAUUUUCAGAAACAUUGCAUUUAAUGAGGUCUUGUCUGGUUUCAGCAACAGCUGGAUUACCUUUCCAGUAAGCAUAAGGCUCUCUGUUCAGCCAUGGUAUCCUCGUAGUGCCUUCUUUCAACCCUCCCAACAAAAUAUGCCAUGGCUUUAUAUUAAUCUCUGACCUGUGCACCACACAUACAAUACUUUUUACUUAUUUAAAAAUUAAGGUCCCGUUAGGGGUGAUUGUCAAUUUUCAAUUUUCCGUUUUAAAAUAUAAUUUCGAAAUACAAACAUGUUCAACAAAAAUUACACUAAGUUGAUUUUUUACAUCUUUCUGAAAUUUUUUUUAUCACAUUUAACAAACAAUUUACUGAUUAUUGUUUAUGUUUUAACCUUUACUGUUUAUUUUUUAAUUAUUUUUAUUAUGUUUAAUUCUUUUUUAUUUAUUUUUUUGUCAACAUUUUUUUAAUAUUACAUGAUUUUAUAAUGGAGUGUGAUAAGAUUAAAUAUUUAAAUUAUUUUAUCUAUUAAUUAAUUUUUUUAAAUCUAAAAAAUAAAAUAAACUGAAACUAAAAACUCAAAACAUAAACUGAGUUUAAUUUUUAAUGAUUUUGAAACUGAACAAUAAAAACUACUUCUAGAAUUGUGUCCCAAACAAUGUAAUAAAAAUAUAAUUCUAUUGUAUAUUUGUAUAACAAAAUCAUAUUUAUGUAAAAAGAAUACUUCUAGAAUUUUCUAAUUUUCUACCCACAUGGGUAAUGUGAAUAGCAAUAUAAAAUCCUACUUAGCCUGCUGCGAUACGAUAAACAAAUUUUGAAAAUUUUCACUCAUAAAUGGACUCCUUUAGAUGUCCACACAUAGGUCCUUCUAGACUUGAAUGACAAAUUGAAAGGUACCCAAAAAAAAAGGUUUUGAUAUAAUAAUCACAUGCUAAAAGGUUAAUUUGUGUAUUGUGAAUUAUUGAUUUUGUUUAUUAUAUAUCCUUUUUCUUUUCCUUUUUUUUCAAAAUUUUAAUUAUUUGACAGUGUGAGCUAGGUUUGUAUGAUGGCUAUGAUAAUGAGGAAUUAAGUUUGACAAUGGAGAGAACCUGUUGCUCCAAACUACCUUCGAUACUUUAUGUUUGAAAGAAAACAAAAAGAUUGCUCCUACUGGGUCCUCAUACAGAAACUAUCUCCAGAGAAUUAGGGAGAAUAAAGGAAGAACAAGGUAAGAAAAGGGCAAUUUUUAUUCAUGUCAUAGCUUGUUAUUUACAUAGAUAUAUAUAUCAAUCUUCCUAACAGAAUUGUAUCAAUUUGCUCAAGGAAUAUUACACGUAUCAAAGUUUGUUAUGCUUGUCGGAGAGGAUAAGACAAACAUGACCCAAGCUAGACCUCUACUGCUAAAUUGCCCACUGCUGCUAUAUUGUCCAAUUUGCCCCUUUUUUCUUCAUACGUAAUCACGAAGGUAAGAUGGCUUUGUGACCUUUCUCUUAGUCUUUUCUUCUUUUUGCACCUCUGGUUUGUUAAUUACUGCUACUCCCUUCAAUGUUUCUGUCUUUCUGAUGCUUGCUUCUAGUUCCUUAUCCCUGUUAUCUGCUUCUGAUAUCCUAUCACUAUCUCAUGCUGAAAAUUACUUAUGAUGUUUUUAUAUCAUAACACAACAUUAUUUUUCUUAUAAGAAUAAGAAUCUUACUAACAACUACUCUUAUAGCAUUAAUUAAGAAAUUCAAAUGAAAAAUAUAGUGAACAUUAAAAUUUUUAAAAAAAUCAUAAAUAGCAUAAUUUUAUACACUUCAAUGAAAAUUAUUUUUAAAAAAAUCAUAAAUAACAUUAUUUUCACACGGCCAUUAUAUUUAUUACAAGAAAACCUUUAGAUAAAAAUUAUUUUUUUUGUACUUUUAGCUUGGUCGUAAACAUUAACAUUACAUCACGCACACACACAUAAAAGGCAAAUCAAAUUAUUUUAUAUCCCUAAAUUUUAUGAGGAAGGAUGCUAUAAAUAUUAACAAUACAUCUCACACACACAAAGACAUCUAAAAUUAUAUCACUAAGUUUUAUGAUGUGUUACGGUUUGCUUUAAAAUAUGGUACAAGGUUUAUCAGAGACCGGCUUAUAAGUAAAAAUUAAAUUUGUCAUAAAGGGAGUAAAAUGGAAAAUAAUUAAUUUCUUGAUUAGAAUUAAAUUAGAAUAAGCUGUGCAGAUCUUAUAAUUUUUGUUCACUAAUUCGCCCACCACAUAAUGUUUUAAUUUUUCCAACUUUGUAUAAUCUAAAAAGUAUAAAAAUGAAGAUUACGACUUUCAGCCUCCAGUUCCUUUUAAUGGAAGAAGUGAGUAAAUGUUGAUGCGAUAUCGGUAGCUUUCAUGGGCAGUGACCUUGUCAAAGAAUGCUUGGGCCAUGAUCAUUCAAAAAUACCCUUAAUUGAUCUUUAGCUCAACAUUUUGUAUAAUACGUUAAUUAAUUUUUUAAAAUUAUGAUUACUAUCAAUUAUUUAAUUCUUAAAACUGUUAAACAAAAGACAUUUUGUUUAUUUGUUGAUAUUUUUAUAAGGUUAAAAUAUAUUUUUAAUCUUAUAAAUAUUUAAAUAUUGAAAAGUUAUUUGAAUAAAAUUUUAAUAUAUUUUUCGUUCUCAUAAAAAUAAAAUAUAUUAUUUUUUUCUUGAAGUAAGAUUUAAACAUUCCAAAUUAUUUAUUACACUUUUGAUUAUAUGUAUAAUUAAUGUAAAAAUAAUAUAUUUACAUCGAUUAUAUAUAUGUAUAAUCAAUAUAAAAAUUCAUAAUUUAAAUUUAUCUGAAUCUACAUUCAGACCAAAUAAUAAUAAUGUAUUUUAAUUUUGUAAAGAUAAAAAAAUUUAUUAAAUUUUUACAAAAAUGAAUUCCAAAAAUUUAUAUAUUUAUCAAAUAAAAAAUUAGCCAAGAUACUUCCUGCGAUUUUGUUAUCACUCUUCUGUUUCAGGCUUCAUAUUCCGUUAGUUUUGGUUGUAAUUAAUACUGAUCCUGGAACACUUGAAUAUUAAUUCAUUUUGACUCUUCAAAAAAAUUGUUUUAUAAAGAUAAAUUAUUUAGUAUUUUUUGUGUUAAUUUUUAAGUAAAGUUAACAUUUCAAUUUGAUAAUCAAUUUUAAAAGCUGACUUUUAUUAUUAUAUAAAGUAAAACUUGAAAAAGCAAAACGAAUAAUACUUAAAAAGUUACACCUAUUAUUUGCCCUUUUUAUAGUUAUGGUAAUUUAGAAUAUUACUCCAACAAUUUUGUUGGUUCUCAAGCAUCAUUGGUUAUCUAUGGAUAUCUCAUCAAAGUUCUUGGCCUGGCCGGCUUGGAGAGUCAAGUCUUGUAUGCAGCCACGAGUCACGACUUUAAUUAACACGAAAGAACUAAUUAUUCACUUCAAUGGUUAGUGACUAAAAUUAAAUAUAAGUUUUUUUCCUAUUAAACCACGUUUUCUUGAACCACUAGUCCCCCAUUUUUUGGAAACAAGAAUGUGAUACACAGAAUUGAACAACUAGUUGAUCUUAACUACAAAUAUGCUCAAUAUGCAAAUAUGUACAUCCCAAAACAGAAUUUAAAUAAGACUCUCAAAUUUGAAAAAAAAAAAAAAGAAAGAAAGAAAGAAGAUAGCAAUGACUACAAUGGAAAUUGAACAACCUGGCAAUACAAUGAUACAACAUCGGUUGUAAGCAACACUAAACAGUGAUACUAUACGAGGAAAAAGAUUGAAGUUUGAACCACAGAUGAUCAAGGAAAUGAAAAUAGACAUGCCGCCAUGAUCUACAAAUCAGCAAAGGAGCAAUCACUAUCCAAAGUCCCACAACAAAUCCAAUUGUCGCACUAACAAAAAACCAAUUCACUCCAUGCCCAUGACUUCCUUCAUAACUAUGAGUUUUCCCAUUGGAGCUGCAGUUUAUGGGCAGUGGUGGACCACAUAGAUUGUUGCCAAUGAAUCUGGAGGCAUCAAAGGUUUGCAAUUGAGUUCCUGUUGGAAUUUUUCCCUUCAAAUGAUUAUAAGACACGUCUAGCAUGCUCAGAAAGCUCAAAUUAGAAAUGGUUGGAGGAAUUUCACCAGAAAUUUGAUUCCUCGAAAAAUCAAUGGUUUGUAACGAUCCCAUAUUACCAAUACCUUCUGGAAUAGGACCAAUCAAUUGGUUGUGGGACAAGUUCAAAAAGUUCAAUCCAUUUAGAUCUGUGAUUUCUCUAGGAAUUUCUCCUAAUAAUUUGUUACUUGACAGAUCAAUACUUGUUACCAAACCCAGAAUGUUUCCAUACUCAUCUCCUCUUCCUUUUAGCCAUAGUAGCACACUAACUAUACCUGAUACCGAAGAGUAUCGUGUAUUAUUUGGUGCUUGAGAAUAGAUUUGGGGAUCUGUACUCCGGUUCACUAGUGUCAUGGCACUCAAGUUACGGAAACAGCUGGGUAUAUUGCCAGACAAAUUAUUUUUUGCAAGGUCUAAAACCUGAAGAAGACUCAUCUGACAUAUUUCAUUUGGAAUGUGACCGGAAAAACUGUUUGAUCGAAGGCGGAGGAUUUUCAUAUUUGAGAGCUUUUCUCCAACCCAUGUUGGAAUACAUCCUGAAAGAUUAUUUUCUCCAAGAUCCAAGGAUAUCAAUUGGCUAGUCUUCUUCAGACUGGUAGGAAAUAUUCCCGAGAGCAAGUUGUUACGAAUUUCUAAUGACUGCAGCUCAGCCAAGGAACCCAUGGAUGGGGGGAAGUUCCCAACAAAAUGGUUGCUUUGUAAAUUCACGUCCACUAGAAAUGGCCAAUUAAUCCAACAAUCAGGUAUUUCUCCUGACAGAUUAUUUGAUGCAAGAUUGAGAAAUUCUAAUUGCAUUGGCUUGUCCUGAUUGUUACAUAAAAAAUCUUGCAUGGAUUCAGAGAAUGAAUUGGUUGAAAGGUCUAACUCAUACACAUCAUUUGAAAGAUAGGGUAAUUUACCACACAAGUGAUUUGUGCUUAGAUCAACAGUUUUGAUAGAUAUUGGAUUUUUUAUUGUAGUCACAAGCUCACCAUGGAUAUGAUUAUGAGAGAGGUUUAAAUACAAAACCUGAGAAUGUGCUUCCCAGAACCAAGUGGGAAUAGAAUCUAAAAUCCCUGUGUUAGACAGUCCAACAUAUCGAAGUUUGUUUUGUGACUGAAUCCACGAUGGAAAGUUGGGACCUAUCUGCCAUGAUGUCACAUCCAAAUAGGAAAGCUGGAAAUUAGGAAGCCAAUUGGGACCCACUUUUAAAGUGAAAUUGUUCCCUGAUGCAUCAAACUCCUUCAAACUUGUAAGAUUUGCAAGAUCAUCUUCGUUGACAACUCCUUGAAAAUUAUUGCCAUUAAUAAGAAGCGAUGACAAUUUAGAGAGUGAUCCAAGACUUUCAAAUGGAUUUCCACUGAAUUUAUUAAUAGAGAGAUAGAGAUAUUUUAAAUCUAUCUCCCUUGAGUUGCGGAGAUUACCCAAAAAAGUCGGAAUUGUUCCUUCAAGUUGAUUAUAUGACAAAUCAAGUUCAACAAGAGAAGUCAAAUUUCCCAAAGAAGUUGGAAUGGUUCCUUCAACUUGAUUAUGUGACAAAUCAAGUCCGACAAGAGAAGUCAAAUUUCCCAGGGCAUCAGAAAUAGUCCCAUGCAAGUUGCUGGAACUUAGGUCCAGAUACUUGAGACGAUGAAGACCGUAUAAGCAAUUAGGUAUAGAAGAUGAAAAUGAAUUGAAAGACAACUCAAGAUUUUGAAGAAGUGUGAGGUUUCGAAUACCACCAGGAAUCGGACCUUGAAUUUCAUUACCCUGUAAUUGAAGAGAAACAAGUUUCUUCAAUUUGAAUAUCCACUUGGGGACAAAAGAAAUGGCAGGGGAAUAACUAGUACGGGAAAGAUCGAGAGUUUGCAGAGAUGAGAAGUUGAGCAAGGAUGGUUCAUUAUAGUGAGGGAGUUUGCAGUCUGACAAAUCUAGGUGGGUCAAAGAAGGAAGAGAUUGGAGAGUGUGUAGCCAAUGAAAUGCUUUGGAUAGGUUUGCAUAACUCAAAUGAAGAUAUUCAAGCUUCCACAUACUUGAUACCCAUUCUACAUUUUCAGCUAACAGAUGUUCGACAGCAGAAUAAUCUACAUUUUCAGCAAACAGAUCAUAACUACCUCCAAGGCCAAGAUAGACCAAAUUGGAGAGAUUCCCAAUCUGAGAUGGAAUCUUCCCCAUGAAUCCAGUAUGAGAGAGGUCGAGGUGAGUCAAGGAGGUCAUUGUGUUGAGUUGGUUAGGAUUCAGUUACAGAGGAGAGAAAAAUAGAGAAUGAAGAUGAAAGAAGAAAAAAAUAUUAUGAUUGAUUUGUAAAGUGUGUGUUACAAAGUAUUUAUAUUCUCAGAUACAAGCUACUACUAAACAAGACUACAACUAACUAGUUAUAAUCUCAACACCCUCCCUCAAGCUUAUCAUGGUAGAUGUUGAUCAUGCUAAGCUUGGAGACAAAAUCAUGAAAUUUGGGUGGUGCCAAUGCUUUGGUGAGAAAAUCUGCCACUUGAUCACUUGUUGAAACUGGUAGUAGCUUUAGAGUGCCCUUCAAAAGCUUCUCUCGCACAAGAUGGCAAUCAAUUUCCAAGUGUUUUGUGCGUUCGUGAAAAACCGGAUUUGAGGCAAUGUGGACUGCGCUUUGGUUGUCACAGUAAAGAGUUGGAGUUCUGGUAAGCUGAACUCUCAAAUCUGCAAAAAGAUACAACAGCCAUUGCAACUCACAAGCAGCUGAAGACAGAGCCCUGUACUCUGCUUCUGAAGAUGAUCUGGACACAGUUGCUUGCUUUUUAGCACGCCAUGACACUAAAGAUUUGCCUAUGAAGAAACAAUAUCCAGAUAUGGAUUUUCUAGAAUCCAUACAGCCUGCCCAAUCAGCAUCUGAAUAACCUAUAAGUUGCAUUUCUGAAGUUCUGCUAAAGAAAAUACCUUGGCCUGGGUUGUUCUUCAAAUACCUCAAUACUCUACAUGCUGCAUUGAAAUGAACAUUUGUGGGUGCUUGCAUGAACUGGCUAAGUUGUUGUGUUGCAAAAGCAAUGUCUGGCCUAGUUGUGUUUAAAUACAACAACUUCCCAACUAUGCGCCUGUAACCUGAAAUAUCAGCAUAAGGAGUGCCUGCAGCACUGUGCAACUUUAUGGAUGUGUCAAGAGGUGUGCUAGCAGGUUUGCACCCAAGUAAUCCUGAAUCCUUAAGCAGAUCCAGACAAUAUUUCCUCUGUGAGAUGGUAAUACCCAGUCUAGAAUGAGCAACUUCAAGCCCAAGAAAGUAUUUCAACUUACCCAGAUUUUUAAUUUUGAAAGCUAAAUCAAGAACAUUCUUGAUCCUGUCAAAUUCAUCAAUUGAAUCACCUGCAAGAAUGAUGUCAUCUACAUAUACCAACAGUGCAGUGAAAGUAUUUCCUUUGGUGAGAGUAAAUAGGGAGUAAUCUGAAAUUGAUUGUAUGUAACCUUCUUUGAGAAGCAAAUUAGUCAGCUUUUCAUACCACUUCCUACUUGCUUGCUUCAACCCAUACAAGCUCUUUUGUAGCUUGCAAACAGAAUUAGGCUUGGCACAAGUUACCCCAUCUGGUAUUUUCAUGUAAACAUCUUCUUGAAGAUCUCCAUGAAGAAAAGCAUUAUUGACAUCCAGUUGAUGAAGGUGCCAAUUCUUUAUGGCAGCUACUGCCAAAAGAGUCCUAACAGUGGUAAUCUUAGCCACAGGGGAGAAGGUCUCAAAAUAGUCAAUCCCUUCUACUUGAUUGUAGCCUUUGGCUACUAAUCUGGCUUUGUAUCUCUCUAUUUGGCCAUUUGCUUUGUGUUUGACUUUAUAAACCCAUUUACAUCCUAUGGGUUUAGUAUGAGGUGGGAGUUCAACAAUUUUCCAGGUACAAUUUUUAGCCAAAGCAUUUAAUUCUUCCUUCAUGGCUGUUACCCAGUGUUCAUGCUUACUAGCUUCCUCAUAAGAUUGAGGCUCAGUGCAGUGUGUGAUUGACAUACUAAAUGCCUUGUGUGAAGGAGACAAAAGUGUAAGUGAAUGAAAAGAAGACAAGGGAUAUUUAGACUUUGUACCUGAAGUGAGAGAUUCGUGUGAAGUUGGAGAUGUAUUGUGACAAACAUAGUCAGACAAAUGUAAUGGUGCCCUUCUUUGUCUGAUGGGUUUGGAAUGUAAUAGAGGAGAAUCAUUGUGAUCUUUAGGUGGAGGUGUGGAGGUAGAGGUAUCAGAAAUGACAGUGUCAUUUGAAAUAUUAGGAGAUAAAGAUGAGUGGGGUGGUGAUGGUGACUGCUCAGCAUUAAUGUCUAAGGAAAUGUCACUAUCUAAGGUAAUGUCACUGUCAUUUGGAGUAGGACUGAUGGAAUGAUACUCCCAAGGAGUCUUGGGAGAUGAGGACUGAUAGGGAAAAAUGUGUUCAUGGUGAGUCACAUCCCUAGACAAGAAUAUGGAAUUAUUUAAUAGAUCAAGGAGUACAACUCCUUUCACACCAGAUUUAUAUCCUAGAAAAACACAUUUUCUAGCUCUAAGGUCUAACUUGGUUCUAUGUGAUUGUAAAGUAGAUGCAAAAACUAGAGAACCAAACACUUUGAGAGUAUCAAAAUCAGGGGCAGUAUUAUACAAUAAAGUAUAAGGAGAUUUGUUUUGUAAAUUUGGUGCAGGGACUCUAUUCAUGAUGUAUACAGCAUGGGAAACAGCAUAACACCAAAAAGACUUGGGGAGAUUAGACUGAACAAGAAGAGCUCUACCUAUGUUUAGAAUUUGCUGAUGUUUUCUCUCAACCCUGCCAUUUUGCUGGGGAGAGUCAACACAGCUAGUCUGGUGUAAUAUACCUUUGGAGGCAUAGAAAUCUGGCAUAAGGAACUCAGGACCAUUGUCUGUACGAAUGGAUUUAACAGAAUGAUUAUAUUGGGUUUUAAUAAAAUGAAUAAAGUUUUGAACAUGAAGUCUAGCUUCAGAUUUAUUUUUCAUUAGGGUUAUCCAAGUAUAUCUAGAAUGGUCAUCAACAGCAGUAAGAAAAUAAGCAUGAUUAUGAACAGAUUUAAUAGAGAUGGGACCCCAUAUGUCAAAAUGAAUCAAAUCAAAACAUUUUAUUGCUUUAUGAUAACUGUGUACAAAAGGUAAUUUUCUGUGUUUAGCAAAGUGACAGAUGUCACACACAGAACUAGAAUCAUUUACAAUAAAGGGGAAUUGAGAGUGUAAAAGAGCAAUUCUAGAACUAGACAGGUGACCUAACCUGAAAUGCCAAAUUGCAUUUUCAGGUAUAUGGACAUUAUUUGCUGAGGAAAAAAUGGAAGAAAUGUUGUAGUUGGAAGAAGCACAUUCCUUAUUUGUCUGAGUCAAGUAGUACAAGCCAUCUCUGCUUUCACCCAAACCAAUCAUCUUCAGUGAUUUCUGCUCCUGUAUGGAACAAAUAGUGUCAGUGAAAUUGAGUGUAUAAGGUGUAUGGUGACAUAAUUGAGAGACAGAAAUCAAAUUGACUGUAAAGGUAGGAACAUAUAGGACAUUGGUGAUACUAAAAGAAGAGGAAAACACAACUGUGCCUGCAUAUUUAGUGGUGACAUGAUUACCAUUUGGUAAUUUUAUAAUCAUGGGAUUGAUUUCACUAUAAGAGUGAAACCAGUGCAGUGAGGCACAUAUGUGAUGACUAGCACCUGAAUCUAUGAUCCAGGUAUCAAGAGCAAUAUUAUUACAAAUAGAAGAAUAAAAAAAAUGAGAUAUUUUCAUACCCUUCGUAUCUGCUGAUGAAGGACCAGCAGUGUUGAAUGAGCAAACCUGUUUAGAAGUAGAAGCAUUACAAUGGUUAACAGAAGGAGGUUGAAUUAACUGCAGAAGCUUAUCUAAUUGUUCCUGAGUAAGUGAAGGAGUCAUGGUGACACUUGUGGUGUUCUGAGAUGCAGUUGAAGAUUCAACACGUUCUCCCCCAUCAACUGCAGAAUGAUGAGCAGAACCAGAGUGAUUUUUCAUCAUGUGAGGAGGAACACCAUGCUUUUGAAAGCAAUUCUCAACAAAGUGAUUCGUCUUAUGACAAUAGGUACAGUAGCGCUUGGAACCAGAAUUAGAUCUUCCAUUAGCAGAACCUUGAGACUUACUAGUUGAAGCAUUAACAAGAGCCUUUGAAUCAUCAAGAUUAGGAACACAAUUUUGACGUUCAAAUUGAAUCACCAUAGAAAAGAUCUUGGUGAUAGAAGGUAGAGGUUCAAUCAGAAGAAUCUGAGAUUUAACCGCAUUGAAUUCAUCGUUUAAACCAGUCAAGAAACGCAUAACAUGAAGCGUAUGAUGAUGACGACGAGCAAGACGCAUCGCAUCACAAGAACAACGAUGAUGACAUGUGCAAUUUGGAAUCGGCAUGUAAAUUUCAAGUUCUUCCCAAAGCGCUUUCAGAUCAGAAUAGAAAGUAGUUACAGAUCGAGUACCUUGAGUGAGAGCGUAAAUCUCUUGUUGAAUUUCUGAAACACGAACCAAAUCACCUUGUGAGAAACGCUCUUUCAGAUCGAGCCACACAUCGGAAGCGUUAUCCAUGAAAACGAUGGAUCGGGAAAUGGAAGGUUCAACGGAGUUGAGAAUCCAGCUAUGAAUCAACAUAUUGCAGCGAUUCCAAGCUCGGAACGACGGAUCGAAGGCAUCAACCGGCAUCGGAAUUGUUCCGUCAAGAAAUUCGAACUUGAGUUUGGCUCCGAGAGCGCGUCGCAGAGACCUCGCCCAAGAAUGGUAGUUGGAACCAUCGAGGAGUGGUGUGACCUUGACGGAGGAGGGACCGUCGCUAGGAUGAACAAAGAACGGACUAGUAGGAUCAGUAGAGGGAUCCGCCGGUGGCGGUGGUGCUAUACGCGGUGGCAUAGUGGCGGAAGCAAAAGGAAUGGAUCGUUAGGUCGAUGAUACCAUGUUGAGUUGGUUAGGAUUCAGUUACAGAGGAGAGAAAAAUAGAGAAUGAAGAUGAAAGAAGAAAAAAAUAUUAUGAUUGAUUUGUAAAGUGUGUGUUACAAAGUAUUUAUAUUCUCAGAUACAAGCUACUACUAAACAAGACUACAACUAACUAGUUAUAAUCUCAACACAUUGCACAAAGGAAAGAAGGAAUUGCCAUACCUUCUCCAAGUAAAUCAUUGUCGCUCAAGUCAAGAUAUCGAAGCUUAGAGAGAUUCCCGAUCUGAGAGGGUACUGUUCCGUUGGCAAAAACAUAACUCAGGUCAAGAUACACCAAAUUUGAGAGAUUCCCAAUCUGAGGAGGAAUCUUCCCAUAGAAUCCAGUAAGAGAGAGGUCGAGGUGAGUCAAGGAAGUUAUUGUCCCAAGGAAAGAAGGAAUUGACAUACCUGCUCCAAGUAAAUAAUUGGCGCUCAAGUCCAAGUAAUUCAAAUGCUUUAAAUCAGCCAAACAAGGACUUAUCUCUCCACCAAACUGGAAUCUCCUAUAAGCUCCCCUGUCAUAGAAAGCAGCAGAAAACGUAGUGUUGAGGUGAAGCUGAAGAAGAUGGGAAGUGACGUUGUGGCAGAGGACUCCAUACCAGUGGCAACAGUUGGUAUUAUUAUGAUUCCAAGACCAAAGCCUAUUGGAAGGAUCUAUGAGAUUAUUCUUAAACUUCAAAAGUGUCUCACGCUCACUUGGGAUGCACACACUCUCUCUGCAUGGUAAGCUCAACAACCAAAGCUGGACAAAGACAAGAAUAUAAAUGGAGGAAUUCAUGAUCACACAAGAAUAUAUAGAAAACAAGUGUAGUUGUUGGUUCUGCAUAUAAAUCAUCAAACUUCUAUUAUUUAUACUGCUGCCCUGCCUGUUUUUUUAGGUACAGUUUUUUUUUACAAAAAUAAAUAAGAAUUAUUUUAUUUUAAUUUACUCUAUAAUACUGCUUAAAUGAAAAUUUGGUGUCAUUAAACUUCAAAUUUUAAUUAUUAUUUAAUCAAUCCUUCCGUUAAACUUUUGUUACGUACAAAAGUCCAACAUUUUUUUAAGAAAAAAUCAAGUCUUUUAUUUCAUCAAAUUUAAUAUUAAAUUAUCAAAUUUUCAAUAUUCAAAACUAAAAAUAAUGUAAAAGAAAAUUGUCUUCUAAAUCAUAGCUUACACCAUCAAGUCAAUCUCAAGGUUUUUCAUUUUUUCAUCUUGAACCUUUGGACACUUCACAAAGUCCAGCCAUGAUGUUAAGGUCUGACUUCUUCAACUUGAACCAUAGGUCACUGCAUUAAUUACCUUCAUAUCAAGUUCCCUGUCAUUGACAACACAUGUUGCAAGUUGAGUCAAGCAAGGAAAAAAAAUAUUAUUGAUGAAUAAAUCAAUUAUAGGAAAAGAGUUUACUUUAAAGACUAUUUUGGUUAAAAAAAUCUAUAAAAAAAAUUAUUUCAUUCCAAGCUAGCUAUUUAAUUUUGAUCAAUUUUUCAAUUCACAAAAUAAUAUUCUUCUUAUAUGUGAAAAUGACUAAUUAAUCUUCAUUGUCAUUAAUGAUUGUUGUGUUGUCUAUUUCUAAUUGUUUUUUUAAUCAUAAUAUUAUUUUCUUUUUAUUAAAAAUUAAUUAGUGAGAUACAAAGAAGUUUAACUUGAUCUAUCAUAAUUAUUGAGAUCAUAGUUUUUCCUUUUAUAAGUCUUGGUCUAAAUUUCUCCAUGUAUUGUAGAUCAUAUUUAACUUAAAAAGUAAAUUAGAAGAUCUACAAAGAAGUGUGACAUGUUUUUUAAAUUAUAAAAUUAUGGUCCUAGCUAUUUAUUGUUAGACCACAAGUUUUCAUAUAUUAAAGUUUUUGUCUAAAUUUCAUUUAUGGUGAUAGUUUAAGAAUAGUGAUAGAAGACAAAAAUAAAUAUUCAAUUUAUUGAAAUAUCUAACUCAAUUAAUUGAUGAAUACAUCAAUUAUAGGAAAAGGGUGUACUUUAAAGACUAUUUCUAUUAAAAAAUCUAUAAAAAAAUUAUUUCCUUCCAAUCUAAUUAUUUAAUUUUAAUCAAUUUUUCAGUUCACAAAAUAAUAUUCUCUUAUAUAGGAAAAAAAGACUAGAUUUAAUUAUCAUCAAUUGGAAAAGUAAUUGUGUCAUGCAUUUAUAAUUGUAUUCUAACUUGAAUAUUAUUUUAUUUAUCAUAUAAAAAUUAAUUAGUUAUAUAAAAGAAGUAAAAAUAAUAUUAACUUUUUUUCUGAAAAAAAAAUCAGUGUCAUAUUUUAUAUUUUUUACAAGUUAUCAACUUAAAUAAGAGGAGAAACAUAAUUUUAAUUUCCAUUUUACUUUUUAAAUAAUUGCAAGUGCCAAAUUUAAAUAAUUAUGAGAAUCACGUUCAAUAUAAUAUUCUAAAAAAAAUCCAUAUGAUAACUUAAACAAUCUAUAAAGAAAUAUAAUUUAUUCUUGUGCCAAAUACUAAAACAAAAAACAUUUUUUAUUUUAGUUUACCGUAUAGAACUGCUUAAAUCAAUGAAAUUUUUAUUUUAAGAAAAUAUUAAUGAUUUUUUUUAAAACUUUAAGUAGUUUACAUCAAAGAUAAUUAAAUUUGGCUUAAUUAGUCUUCAAAUUUUAACUAUUAUUCAUAUCAAUCCUUUCGUUAAACCUGUACGUGUUAAGUAAACAACAAAAAGUCUUGUCUUAUAAAAUUCAAACAUUCUAUGACAUGCGGUUUGAACUCAUAAUUAAUUUUAAACUAUCAAAUUUUAAUUAUUCAAAAUAAAAGAAAUGAAAACAAAAUUGUCUCCUAGAGAAACCGCUGGCCACUCCACCAAAUUCAUAUCAAGGUCCCCACUUUUCCAACUUGAACCAUAGACUACUCCAUCAAAUCUAUGUCAAGGUCCUCCAUUUCAAGGUCCCCACUUUUCCAACUUGAACCAUAGACUACUUCAACCUUAGGACACUCCACAAAGUCCACCCAUAUUAAGGUCUCUGCCUUCUUCAACUUCUGCAACGCAUAUAUAGAAAACAACUUAAUUGUAUAAGUGCUUCUUGCUUCUGCAUAUAAAUCAUAAAACUUCUAUUAUUUAUACUGCUGCAAGUGUCUUUCUUGACUUUUUUUCUUUUUUUUAUGAUGUUUCCUUUUUUUAAUUAUUGACUUUAUUAUCCAAUUCUCCCGAGUUAAUUCUUAGAAUAGGAAAUAAUUUUGAAUUUACUUUAUCUAUCUCCCUUUUUAAAAUUCCUAUAUACACAAAAUUUUAUAUUGAAUUUAACUAUUAUUUAAUAUAUCCUUUCGUUAAACUUUUGUUAAUUAAACAAUAAAAGUCCAACAUUUUAUUAAAAAAAUUCAAGUCUUCUAUUUCAUGGACUCCAUCAAGUCUUUUAUUAAAAGUCCAACUUUUGUUAAUUCAAGUCUUUUACAAAAUUUUGUUAAUUCAACUUUUGUUAAUUAUUACAAAAUUUGGUAUUGAAUUUAACUAUUAUUUAAUUCAAGCCUUUUAUUAAAAGUUCAAAUUUUGUUAAUUUAAAUAUUAUUUUGUUAAUUAAACCAUAGCUGACUCCAUCAAGUCGUAUUUUUUCAUCUUGAACCUUUGGACACUCCACAAAGUCCAGCCAUGUUAUGGUCUCUGGCUUCAACUUGAACCAUAGCCUGGGCCACAAACAAUAUAUUAAUGAUAAAUACAUCAAUUAUAGGAAAAUGGUCUAAUUUAAAGACUAUUUCAGUUAAAAAAUCUAUAUAAAAAAAAUUAUUUCGUUCAUAUCUUGGUAUUUAAUUUUGAUCAAUUUUUUAAUUCACAAAAUAAUAUUCUCUUAUAUAUGAAAAAGCUAGACUAGAUUUAAUCGUCAUUUGGAAUGGUUGUUGUGUGAUCUAUUUCUAAUUGUAUUCAAACAUGAAUAUUAUUUUCAUUAUCAUAUAAAAAUUAAUUGGUGAUAUAAAAAGAAGUGUGAAAAAGAAUAUUAAUUUUUUUCUAAAAAAAAUUAGUAGCAUAUUUUGUAUUUUUUUACACGUCAUCAACUUAAAUAAUAGGAGAAACAUAAUUUUAAUUUCCAUUUUAAUUUUUAAAUAAUUUUAAUUGCCAAAUUUAAGCAAUCAUAAAAUUUCUCAUGUUCAAUAUAAUAUUCUAAAAAAAAAUAUUCAUAUGAUAACUUAAAUAAUCUACUAAGAAAUAUGAUUUAUUCUUAUGCAGAUCGAAUACUAAAAUAAGAAAAAAAAAUAUUUUAGAUCACAAUAUAAAAUUGCUUAAAUCAAUGAAAUUUCAUUUUAAGAAAAUAUUAAUAAUUUUUAAUACUUUAAAUCAAAGAUAAUUAAAUUUGGUUUAAUUAGUCUUCAAAUUUUAACUAUUAUUUAAAUCAAUCCUUUCAUUACACCUUUGUUAAGUAAAUGAUAGCAUAGCAAGCAAGGAGGUGCUAGCAGUAACACUCUCACAAAGAUAAAGAUCUUUAAGCCAUCAUUUUUUUUCCUUUUCUUUUCUAUGAACUGUCAUUUCUUAUCUCUACAUGGAAUGUCUAGAAGUUGAAAACUUGAGCUUUCUUUAACUAUACUGCUUUCCAUUUUGGCGAACUGCUUUUCUUUCUCAUAAUGAACUUUCCACUUCCAAUGAUGGUUCAACAUUAAUAAUUCUUUAUCUAUUUUGUCUAAAAAUUUCCAAUCACUUUUUGUGAGUGGUGUGAAUGUCAUGCAGACAAAUGAUGUCCAAGCUCCACUUUUUCCAUUCAUUGCAAGUUGUAAGCAGAAUGUAGAAUGUACGUAUAAUAAAAUAAUGAGAAUGCCAACUACUAGUACGUAGUACUUAAUUAAAACAAAAGUAUCAAAAUUAGAACGAAAAUAACUUUGAUGCUGUUAAUACAUGAGUUUAAUUUUGAUACACAGUGUAAAAAUUUAAAUUUUUAAUUAAUUAGAAAUCACCUAAUGAUUUGUAAAACAAUUACUAAAAAAAGUUUCAUUUGAAACUUAGUCUUCCACCCGUCUCAAGCUCUCCACAUGAACACUAAGCUCUAGACAAAAAUAAAUAAAUAAAUAAAUAACCACGAGAAAUAAUAUAUAACUCUUUAGUGGACAAUUGGUGUUCUUUUGUGCAUUCAGUUGAAGGAAGUUCCCAGAUUGGCAGAAAGCAAGGGACAGAUGAAACGGCCACAGCUAAGAAUAGUGCAUCUUAUAUCGGGAAGAGAUUGUUAGAAAGUUUGGUUGCAGUUGCAGGGCUUCUAAUUUGGCUUUCAUGAGCAUUACUCAAAUACUACCUAUAUAUUACCACUUUCAUAUCACAAAAUGUCUUGCCUUAUAAAAUUUAAAUAUUCUAUUACUUGCAGUUUGAAUCCAUAAUUAAAUUUAAAAUAUCAAUUUUUUAUUAUUCCAAAUAAAAGAAAUGAAAACAAAAUUGUCUAGUCUCCUAGACAAACCACUUCCCACUCCACCAAAUUCAUAUCAAGGACCCCACUUUUCCCACUUGAACCAUAGACUACUCCAUCAAGUCCAAGUCAAUGUCCUUCAUUUUUUCAUCUUGAAUCUUAGGACACUCCACAAAGUCCAGCCAACCAUAUUUAGGUCUCUAUCUUCUUCAACAUGAACCAUAGGUCACUACAUUACCUUCAUAUCAAGUUCCUUAUCAUUGACAACAAAUGUUUAGAAUUAAGUAAGCAAGGAAAAAAAAUAUAAAUGAUGAAUACACCAAUUAUAGGAAAAUGAUCUAAUUUAAAGACUAUUUCGGUUAAAAAAUCUAUAUAAAAAAAGACUCUUUCGUUUCAAUCUAACUAUUUAAUUUUGAUCUAUUUUUUAAUUUACAAAAUAAUAUUCUUCUUAUAUGUGAAAAAAAAACUAAUUUUCAUUGUCAUUAAUCGGAAAGAUUGUUGUGUCGUCUAUUUCUAAUUGUAUUUUAGCCUGAAUAUUAUAUUCUUUUUCAUUAAAAAUUAAUUAGUAAGAUACAAAGAAAUGUAAAAUGCUUGUUUAACUUGGUCUAUCAUAAUUAUUGAGAUCAUAACUUUUUUCUUUUAUAAGUCUUUGUCCAAAUUUCUCCAUAUAUUGUAGAUCAUAUUUAGCUUAAAAAGUAAAUUAGAGGAUAUGAUAUACCAAGAAGUGUGGCAUGUUUUUUUAAAUUAUUUAUCUAUGGCCUUAGCUAUUUUAUUUUUAGACCACAAGUCUUCAUAUAUUAAAGUCUUUGUCUGAAUUUCAUUUACUUGUGUGGUGAUAUUUUAAGAAUAGUGAUAGAAGAGAAAAAUAAAUAUAUAAUUUAUUGAAAUAUCUAACUUAUGAAGAUUUGCAUUCUUAAUGCAUAAGAUUUUCAGUUUAUAUAUUAUCAUUAUUUGGAAAUAUUUUUUGUGUUAAUUGUCUAUUUCUAAUUAAUUUGAAAAUGAAUCUUAAUUUUUUAUCAUAAAAAUUAGUAUUAUAUUUUUUAUUUUCUUUACAAGUUAUCAACUUAAAUACUAAUAGGAGCAACAUAAUUUUAAUUUCCAUUUUACUUUUUAAAUAAUUUUAAGUGCCAAAUUUAAGCAAUCAUAAAAAUACUCACGUUCAAUAUAAUAUUUUUAAAAAAUAAUUCAUGAGAUCACUUAAAUAAUCUUCAAAGAAAUAUAAUUUAUUCUUGUGCCAAAUAAACAACAAAAAAAGUCUUGCAUUAUUAAAUUCAAGUCUUCUAUUACAUGCAAUUUGAACCUAUAACUAAUUUUAAAUGAUCAAAUUUUUAUUAUUCAAAAUAAAAGAAAAGAAAAAAAAAUUGUCUUCUAGACAAACCAGAGACAACUCCACCAAAUCCAUAUCAAGGUCCCCACUUUUUUAACUUGAACCAUAGGCCACUCCAUCAAAUCUAUGCCAAAGUUUCUUAUCAUUGACAACAAAUGCUGAGAGUUAAGUCAAGCAUGAAAAAAAAUAGGGUAAAAUAUAUCAUUUCUAUCCCUAUAAAAUUUUAAUGUGCUACUUUUUUUUUUUAUCCUGAGUUAAGUUUGGAUGAUAGAUAAUUAUCAUGUAUUCUUAGAUUUUGGUGUCAUUUUAGGAUAUUUAUGUGAUAUAUGUCUUUUAUGCUUUUUUAUUGUCAUGAACUAAUCUUCUCUUUUGUUGGAGUUGAAUAUAAUUGGUUCAUUUUUCAUGUAAUGACUAUUUUUUAUUGAAUAAAGCAUUCUAAUUGUUUCUCUUCUAUGUUUAAUAUGUGUUUUUGGCUUAAUCACCUGUUUGUAUGAUUUUUUUUAUUCAAUUGUAAUUUAAAUUUUUUUUUGAACUAUGAAUUGCAAAAAACACCUAAUAAUUUUUAUGUCUAGGAAUAAGAUAAAAAGAAUUGAGCAUCAAUAAACACUUUAUCUUAAUGAAAAUCAUUUAGUUAUAUUAAUUUAAGGGAUUAAGGGAUUUAGGUCUCUUCACUAGGAAUUAAAGUGAAGAUAAUAUGAUGGGAUUAUGAUAAUAUAACCUUUAUUAAAUAUAAAUGUGUAGUUAUUAGGUAAUAGAAACUUCAAUGAAAUUAAACCCCAACAAUUUUUUCAUUGAUUUAACCCCAACAAUUACAUGAGGUGUUUGUUAAAAUUCCCAAACAAUUUUUUUCCUUAAUUUUUUCCUUAAUUUUUUCUUUUAUUUUCUUCUUUAGUUUUCUUAUUUUUAUUUCUUACUUUAAUUUCUUUAUCUUUAUGCAUAUUGUUAUUUAAAUCAAAUUAGCUAAUGUUAAUUAAUUUCAAAUAUGCAUAGUAUAGAAAUUAUACUUUUUAUUACCCAAUUAUUGCCUAAGUCCUGUUAAUGCUAAUCAUUGUUAGAGCACAGAUAGUAGAAGACAAUAAUGCGUGAUAAAUACAAAACAGAAUUUGAUGCUCAAGUCUGAAGCUCGUCUAGUUCUCUUAACAUUAAGAACAUUUAUUACCAAUGAAAGCAAAACAAACAGACACCCCAUAUGAACAUGUACAUAGUAUGGUAAACCUUUUCACAUUUUUAAUGUCUAGAAUAACACGUUGUAAUGUCUCUCACUCCUAACAGUUAACAUGUAAACUCACAAUUUCCCAAGUAACCUUCUUACCUUCAAAACUAUUAUCACAUAAAUCAGAUCUCUCAAGUGGUCAAGAUAAUGAAAAUAAGCACGCCUCCAAGUUCUGUUGAAGAAAACAACACUGCAAAAACCCCAAAAUCCUGCUGCAAAUCCAACUCCCAUACCGAUAUAAAACUCUGAUGUUCCAAAGAAAUUACCAUCACCGUGUCCAACAGAAGCACUCUCUGUCAACUCUUCCUUGUCUGUGCAAUUUUUUGUCACAGGAGGACCACAAAGCUCAGGAUUUCCAGUGUAGCUAAGUUCUUCAAAGCUCUGAAGUUGGGUGCUCGUGGGAAUUCUGCCUGAUAAGUUGUUGUAUGAUAGAUUCAGGACACUGAGGAAGGACAAAUCAGAUAAGCUUUGAGGGAUUUGACCUGAAAUGUUGUUUAGUGAGAGAUCAAGGGAUUCUAACAAUUUCAUUUUUCCCAUGUCAUUUGGUAUCCCUCCAGACAGAUGAUUUCUAGACAAGUUCAAAAACCGCAAAGCAGAUAGCUUGGAAAUUUCAGAUGGAAUUGCUCCAGACAGCUUAUUACUUGAAAGAUCAGUCAUUCUCACCAAUAUCAGAUUGUCUCUGUACUCUAACUCAUCUCCUUUGGGAACUAAGACAAGAGUUUCCUUGUAGUGGUUAUAACUGAAGUCAGAGCCAUAUGAAUAACUUAAAGGGUUGGCAAAGAAGUCAUCUUCACCAGCCAUUGUCUUCAUGUCAUCCAAACAAUUUGGAAUGGAUCCUGACAGGCUGUUAUUGCCAAGAUCCAGCACUAUAAGGGAAGAAAGUUGACAAAUCUUUUCAGUAAUGCUGCCAUUGAAAUUGUUGGAUCUUAGACGAAGAACCAUUAGAUAUUGCAUUUCCCACAUCCAAUCUGGUAUUGCGUCAGAAAGUUGGUUAUUGCCCAUGUCAAUGAAUUUCAUUGUAGAGCAAUUUUGCAGUGUUGAAGGAAUAUAUCCAGAGAAGCGGUUGUCGUCUAACAACAAAGACUCAAGUUGAGAUAGAUACCCCAUGGAGUUUGGAAUAGCACCAGACAAAUUGUUACUACCCAAGUUCAAAUGCACCAAAGCUUGCCAAUGCACCCAACAGUGACCAAGAUCACCAGAUAAGACAUUAUUUGAAAAAUCAAGCACACUUAAAUUAUUAGUAGCAUUUUCCUUUCCACAUAAAAAGGGAGAAAUUGUUCCGGAAAUUGAGUUAUUGGCAACAUUCAGCACUUCAACAUUUGCAGACACACUUGGCAAUGUACCCUUGAACAAAUUAGAACUCAAAUUUAUGAGGCUGGAAUUGAGAAAGAUGUUAGAUAGGUCUCCACUUAACAGAUUGUUGGACAGAUCCAGGAAUUCAGUUUGCAAAGUCCAAUUCCAAAACCAACUUGGAACCAAGUCUGCAAUACCUGCCUUAGACAUUGUCAAAACCUUCACAGAACUUUGCCUUUUUAGCCAUUCUGGAAACUUAGGACCUAUUCCAAAGGAGCUCAGUAAAACAUAUUCAAGCUGAAAAGGAGGAACCCAUCCAGAGUUGACACUGAGGAACAAGUUUGUCCAAGACAAACGUAGUUCCUUUAAUUUCAAAAGUUUUACAAAAUUUGACUCUUUUAUAGAUCCUUCUAACAAAUUAGAUGAAAGGUCUAACAUCACUAAAUUUGAGAGAGUUCCAAGAGUUACAGGCAUAUCACCAGUCAAAGAAUUAGUUCCAAGAUUUAAUACCUGCAGGUUUCUGAGGAACUCAAAACUCUUAGGAAUGGUUCCAUUCAGUCGGUUGUGAGCCAGGUUUAAAGUUCUCAAGGAUGACAAGUUUGCAAAUGGUGAGGGAAUUGGACAAGUAAAGGUAUUAUUACUGAGAUUUAGAACUUCAAGAUGCUUAAGCUGGCCUAAUGAAUCUGGAAGUGGCCCACUGAGCUGGUUGUUCUGCAGGUCUAGAUUUUUUAUGUUCUGAAGGCUUGAUAUUAUUUGUGGAAUUUCUCCCUGUAAAAGGUUACUGUGUAAAUCAAGUUGGACAAGAGCUGUGCUGAGAUUAAAUAGCCAUGAAGGGAUUUGCUGAUUGAGAUUGUUAAUUGAAAGAUCAAGGACUUGGAGAUGUGUGAAGUUGAUUUUUCCUUUUGGUGGUCCUAAGUUAUCAAUUUGACAGCUCUCCAAGUGUAGUUCUGAAAGAGAUGGAAGUUCACUCAGUACUUGAAGCCAGUUACCUUGUUUAUGAAGGUCUGAACCACUCAAAUCAAGGUACUCUAAGGAAGAUAGCCUUGAUAUCCAAUUAAGGUUAUCUAUCUGAAGAGCAUAAUUGUAUCCAAGAUUAAGGUGCUGCAGGUUUGAGAGGUUUCCUAGUUGAUGAGGGAUUAAUCCCAUGAACCCACUUAAGCUAAGGUCCAAGUAUCUCAGACUCUCCAAUGAGCCUAGGAAGCUUGGUAUUGGAGUAAGAACAAAAUAAUUUGAACUCAAGUCCAAACGAUUCAAAUAUUUUAGUUCAAGCAAAGAAGGACUAAUCUCUCCACUCAACUCCCUAUAGGGAGAGCCCGCAGGUGUGUCAAGAUUGAUUUCCAUGACUUUACCUGUGUUGUUGCAGUGAACCCCUGGCCAUGUACAGCAAUCCGAUUUGUCAGACCAUGAUGAAAGCCUGUUUGAAGGGUCUGCUAGUCCAUGCUUGAAGCUGAGGAGUGCAUUCCUUUCCUUCUCUCUGCAAGUCAUAUUGAGCCUUGCUGCCUUGCUUGCACUGAAGUGGAGAGUUGUUGCAGUGGACAAUAUCAAGAGAAGAACAUGAGUUGCAAAUAGCACUGCCAUGAAGAAGAAGGAAGACGAAAAAGGUUGAAUCCACAAUUUUCUGGUUCACGGUUGGUAUUUACUACUAACAAUGCCAAUGCCUAUAUAGGAUAUAUACCAUAGAAGGGUUUGCAUUUAAAAUUUUAUUCCACUAAUGGUGGUGGUUGCAAAAUGCACACAUAUGUAGAGGUAUAUAUGUCUACAAGGAGACAUUUAGGAUUAAAAGUGCCUAACCACACCACCAUUAUUUUGCUCUAGUUUAUUUUAUUUUGAUUUAAUUAUCCUUUUAGUCCUUAUAGUUGUGAUAAUUUGUUUUAGUCCCUAUAGUUUAAGACAUUCAUUUUGGUUCUUAUAUUUCCAAUUUUUUUUAUCUUUUGGUCCUCGCGGGGAAGAUUCAACUCACACAUAAACAUGAACAAAAUUAAUAAAAAUAGGGAAGCAAGCUCAGGUACAAAUGAAGUGUAAUGGAGGUAUGAGACAAAGCCACUACACAUUCCAUUAUUCUUGAGUCUGCCACCGACCUCUGCAAGCUUAGCAUUUGCCAAUUGCCAUGAUGUAAUCUCCUUCUUGACAGUCUCUCAUCAAGUUGGAGUGGUAUCACAGCAUUGAACUAUGUUGGUCGUUCCAAUGGGAUGAUGGUUUUGAUUGCUGCAGAUAAAGUGUGUCAUUGUGAGUUUCUGGUCCCAUGAGUUAAACUAUAAGGACUAAAAAAAAUAUUGUCGUAACUUUAAGGGCCAAAAGGAUAAUUAAACCUUUUAUUUUUUUAUAAUUUUUUUUUACAACGGGUUAUAUAUAUGUAGCAGUUUAUUCUAAACAAUGGACUACGUGUGAAAUCUUUGAAUUCUAUGUAAGAAAUGUUAUUUCAAAUUUCUCAUCAGUCUUCAUGUCAAUGAUGACAUGCUCCAUUUGAAUUCUAUGUCUAAUUAAGCUCUCGGUCUUCCGUUUUUGCAACUUUAUUUCGUAGAAAGAAGCCAAAUUUGAAGAUACAACAUUUGAUACUAUAACUGUUUGGUGUUUUGAAAAUCUCACUGACAUAUUUCCAAAUGUUACAAUCUCCUAGCCUUUUUUACCAAGUCAGGGAAUUUGCAUUGUUGUGCAUGAUGGCUGCCACAAGCACCCUUGUGCCAACCCAUUAGUGCAAGUGGUUUUUUCUUAUGAGAAUUGAGAAACAAAUUAUAUAUGUGUUUUAUAAAGGGAAUUCUAUUAUUUUUAAUUUUGAACUUGUAAUGUUUUUUGUUUCCCUCACAGAACAAGUGAUGUGACUCUUGAUCGACGCCAUACGUACGCAUACUUUGAUGCUCUUUUUUCUCACCACUUUUAUCUUAAUGGUAUCUCAAGUUGACAAUCAUAAAUUAAAAUAGCUAACUAUAGUUGAUUAGUAGAGACAAACAGCUCAAAGAUAAAGAUCUUUAAGCCAUCAUUUUUUUUUCCUUUUCUUUUCUAUGAGCUGUCAUUUCUUAUCUCUACAUGGAAUGUCUAGAAGUUGAAAAUUACUUGAGCUUUCUUUACCUACUGCUUUCCAUUUUGGCGAACUGCUUUUCUUUCCCAUAACCAGGAAUUCAUGGGAAGUGACGUUGUGGCAGAGGACUCCAUACCAGUGGCAACAGUUGGUAUUAUUAUGAUUCCAAGACCAAAGCCUAUUGGAAGGAUCUAUGAGAUUAUUCUUAAACUUCAAAAGUGUCUCACGCUCACUUGGGAUGCACACACUCUCUCUGCAUGGUAAGCUCAACAACCAAAGCUGGACAAAGACAAGAAUAUAAAUGGAGGAAGAAUUCAUGAUCAUGCAAGAAUAUAUAGAAAACAAGUGUAGUUGUUGGUUCUGCAUAUAAAUCAUCAAACUUCUAUUAUUUAUACUGCUGCCCUGCCUGUUUUUUUCUCCACUUUCAUUAUUUUUUACCUUUUUUAUUAUUGUGCCAAAUACUAAAAUAUUCUUCCAUUCUUUUUUUUUACGGUGACCUCUUUAAAUUAUCGAUUUAAUUAUCCAAUUCUCCCGAAUUCAUUAUUUCAUUCCAAGCUAGCUAUUUAAUUUUGAUCAAUUUUUCAAUUCACAAAAUAAUAUUCUUCUUAUAUGUGAAAAAGACUAAUUAAUCUUCAUUGUCAUUAAUGAUUGUUGUGUUGUCUAUUUCUAAUUGUUUUUUUAAUCAUAAUAUUAUUUUCUUUUUAUUAAAAAUUAAUUAGUGAGAUACAAAGAAGUUUAACGUGAUCUAUCAUAAUUAUUGAGAUCAUAGUUUUUCCUUUUAUAAGUCUUGGUCCAAAUUUCUCCAUGUAUUGAAGAUUAUAUUUAACUUAAAAAGUAAAUUAGAAGAUCUACAAAGAAGUGUGACAUAUUUUUUAAAUUAUAAAAUUAUGGUCCUAGCUAUUUAUUGUUAGACCACAAGUUUUCAUAUAUUAAAGUUUUUGUCUAAAUUUCAUUUAUGGUGAUAGUUUAAGAAUAGUGAUAGAAGAGAAAAAUAAAUAUUCAAUUUAUUGAAAUAUCUAACUCAAUUAAUUGAUGAAUACAUCAAUUAUAGGAAAAGGGUGUACUUUAAAGACUAUUUCUAUUAAAAAAUCUAUAAAAAAAUUAUUUCCUUCCAAUCUAAUUAUUUAAUUUUAAUCAAUUUUUCAGUUCACAAAAUAAUAUUCUCUUAUAUAGGAAAAAAAGACUAGAUUUAAUUAUCAUCAAUUGGAAAAGUUAUUGUGUCAUGUAUUUAUAAUUGUAUUCUAACUUGAAUAUUAUUUUAUUUAUCAUAUAAAAAUUAAUUAGUUAUAUAAAAAGAAGUAAAAAGAAUAUUAACUUUUUUUCUCAAAAAAAAAAUCAGUAUCAUAUUUUAUAUUUUUUACAAGUUAUCAACUUAAAUAAGAGGAGAAACAUAAUUUUAAUUUCCAUUUUACUUUUUAAAUAAUUGCAAGUGACAAAUUUAAAUAAUCAUGAGAAUACUCACGUUCAAUAUAAUAUUUAAAAAAAAAAAAUCCAUACGAUAACUUAAACAAUCUAUAAAGAAAUAUAAUUUAUUCUUGUGCCAAAUACUAAAAUAAGAAACAUUUUUUAUUUUACUUUACCGUAUAGAAUUGCUAAAAUGAAUGAAAUUUUUAUUUUAAUAAAAUAUUAAUGAUUUUUUUAAAACUUUAAAUAGUUUACAUCAAAGAUAAUUAAAUUUGGCUUAAUUAGUCUUCAAAUUUUAACUAUUAUUCAAAUCAAUCCUUUCGUUAAACCUGUACGUGUUAAGUAAACAACAAAAAAUCUUGUCUUAUAAAAUUCAAACAUUUUAUUACAUGCGGUUUGAACCCAUAAUUAAUUUUAAACUAUCAAAUUUUAAUUAUUCAAAAUAAAAGAAAUGAAAACAAAAUUGUCUCCUAGAGAAACCGCUGACCACUCCACCAAAUUCAUAUCAAGGUCCCCACUUUUCCAACUUGAACCAUAGACUACUCCAUCAAGUCUAUGUCAAGGUCCUCCAUUUUAAGGUCCCCACUUUUCCAACUUGAACCAUAAACUACUUCAACCUUAGGACACUCCACAAAGUCCACCCAUAUUAAGGUCUCUGACUUCUUCAACUUCUGCAACGCAUAUAUAGAAAACAACUUAAUUGUAUAAGUGCUUCUUGCUUCUGCAUAUAAAUCAUAAAACUUCUAUUAUUUAUACUGCUGCAAGUGUCUUUCUUUUCUUUUUUCUUUUUUUUAUGACGUUUCCUUUCUUUAAUUAUUGACUUUAUUAUCCAAUUCUCCCGAGUUAAUUCUUAGAAUAGGAAAUAAUUUUGAAUUUACUUUAUCUAUCUCCCUUUUAAAAAUUCCUAUAUACACAAAAUUUUAUAUUGAAUUUAACUAUUAUUUAAUCUAUCCUUUCGUUAAACUUUUGUUAAUUAAACAAUAAAAGUCCAACAUUUUAUUAAAAAAAUUCAAGUCUUCUAUUUCAUGGACUCCAUCAAGUCUUUUAUUAAAAGUCCAACUUUUGUUAAUUCAAGUCUUUUACAGAAUUUUGUUAAUUCAACUUUUGUUAAUUAUUACAAAAUUUGGUAUUGAAUUUAACUAUUAUUUAAUUCAAGCCUUUUAUUAAAAGUUCAACUUUUGUUAAUUUAAAUAUUAUUUUGUUAAUUAAACCAUAGCCGACUCCAUCAUGUCUAUCUCAAGGUCCUGUAUUUUUUCAUCUUAAACCUUUGGACACUCCACAAAGUCCAGCCAUGUUAUGGUCUCUGGCUUCAACUUGAACCAUAGCCCAUAGGGCACAAACAAUAUAUUAAUGAUAAAUACAUCAAUUAUAGGAAAAGGGUCUAAUUUAAAGACUAUUUCAGUUAAAAAAUCUAUAUAAAAAAAGAUUAUUUCAUUCAUAUCUUGCUAUUUAAUUUUGAUCAAUUUUUUAAUUCACAAAAUAAUAUUCUCUUAUAUAUGAAAAAAAGACUAGAUUUAAUCGUCAUUUAAAAUGGUUGUUGUGUGAUCUAUUUCUAAUUGUAUUCAAACAUGAAUAUUAUUUUCUUUAUCAUAUAAAAAUUAAUUAGUGAUAUAAAAAGAAGUGUGAAAAAGAAUAUUAAUUUUUUUCUAAAAAAAAUUAGUAGCAUAUUUUGUAUUUUUUUACACGUCAUCAACUUAAAUAAUAGAAGAAACAUAAUUUUAAUUUCCAUUUUAAUUUUUAAAUAAUUUUAAUUACCAAAUUUAAGCAAUCAUAAAAUUUCUCAUGUUCAAUAUAAUAUUCUCAAAAAAAAAUAUUCAUAUGAUAACUUAAAUAAUAUACUAAGAAAUAUGAUUUAUUCUUAUGCAGAUCCAAUACUAAAAUAAGAAAAAAAAAUAUUUUUGAUCACAAUAUAAAAUUGCUUAAAUCAAUGAAAUUUCAUUUUAAGAAAAUAUUAAUCAUUUUUUUAAUACUUUAAAUCAAAGGUAAUUAAAUUUGGUUUAAUUAGUCUUCAAAUUUUAACUAUUAUUUAAAUCAAUCCUUUCGUUACACCUUUGUUAAGUAAAUGAUAGCAUAGCAAGCAAGGAGGUACAAGCAGUAACACUCUCACAAAGAUAAAGAUCUUUAAGCCAUCAUUUUUUUUUCCUUUUCUUUUCUAUGAACUGUCAUUUCUUAUCUCUACAUGGAAUGUCUAGAAGUUGAAAACUUGAGCUUUCUUUAACUAUACUGCUUUCCAUUUUGGCGAACUGCUUUUCUUUCUCAUAAUGAACUUUCCACUAUUCCAAUGAUGGUUCAACAUUAAUAAUUCUUUAUCUAUUUUGUCUAAAAAUUUCCAAUCACUUUUUGUGAGUGGUGUGAAUGUCAUGCAGACAAAUGAUGUUCAAGCUCCACUUUUUCCAUUCAUUGCAAGUUGUAAGCAGAAUGUAGAAUGUACGUAUAAUAAAAUAAUGAGAAUGCCAACUACUAGUACGUAGUACUUAAUUAAAACAAAAGUAUCAAAAUUAGAACGAAAAUAAAUUUGAUGCUGUUAAUACAUGAGUUUAAUUUUGAUACACAGUGUAAAAAUUUAAAUUGUUAAUUAAUUAGAAAUCACCUAAUGAUUUGUAAAACAAUUACUAAAAAAAGUUUCAUUUGAAACUUAGUCUUCCACCCGUCUCAAGCUCUCCACAUGAACACUAAGCUCUUGACAAAAAUAAAUAAAUAAAUAAAUAACCACGAGAAAUAAUAUAUAACUCUUUAGUGGACAAUUGGUGUUCUUUUGUGCAUUCAGUUGAAGGAAGUUCCCAGAAUGGUAGAAAGCAAGGGACAGAUGAAACGGCCACAGCUAAGAAUAGUGCAUCUUAUAUCGGGAAGAGAUUGUUAGAAAGUUUGGUUGCAGUUGCAGGGCUUCUAAUUUGGCUUUCAUGAGCAUUACUCAAAUACUACCUAUAUAUUACCACUUUCAUAUCACAAAAUGUGUUGCCUUAUAAAAUUCAAAUAUUCUAUUAUUACUUGCAGUUUGAACCCAUAAUUAAUUUUAAAAUAUCAAUUUUUUAUUAUUCCAAAUAAAAGAAAUGAAAACAAAAUUGUCUAGUCUCCUAGACAAACCACUUCCCACUCCACCAAAUUCAUAUCAAGGACCCCACUUUUUCCACUUGAACCAUAGACUACUCCAUCAAGUCCAAGUCAAUGUCCUUCAUUUUUUCAUCUUGAACCUUAGGACACUCCACAGCCAACCAUAUUUAGGUCUCUAUCUUCUUCAACAUGAACCAUAGGUCACUACAUUACCUUCAUAUCAAGUUCCUUAUCAUUGACAACAAAUGUUUAGAAUUAAGUAAGCAAGGAAAAAAAUUAUAAAUGAUGAAUACAUCAAUUAUAGGAAAAUGAUCUAAUUUAAAGACUAUUUCGGUUAAAAAAUCUAUAUAAAAAAAGACUCUUUCGUUUCAAUCUAACUAUUUAAUUUUGAUCUAUUUUUUAAUUUACAAAAUAAUAUUAUUCUUAUAUGUGAAAAAAAACUAAUUUUCAUUGUCAUUAAUCGGAAAGAUUGUUGUGUCGUCUAUUCUAAUUGUAUCUUAGCCUGAAUAUUAUAUUCUUUUUCAUUAAAAAUUAAUUAGUAAGAUACAAAGAAGUGUAAAAUGCUUGUUUAACUUGGUCUACCAUAAUUAUUGAGAUCAUAACUUUUUUCUUUUAUAAGUCUUGGUCCAAAUUUCUCCAUAUAUUGUAGAUCAUAUUUAGCUUAAAAAGUAAAUUAGAGGAUAUGAUAUACCAAGAAGUGUGACAUGUUUUUUUAAAUUAUUUAUCUAUGGCCUUAGCUAUUUUAUUGUUAGACCACAAGUCUUCAUAUAUUAAAGUCUUUGUCUGAAUUUCAUUUACUUGUGUGGUGAUAUUUUAAGAAUAGUGAUAGAAGAGAAAAAUAAAUAUAUAAUUUAUUGAAAUAUCUAACUUAUGAAGAUUUGCAUUCUUAAUGCAUAAGCUUUUCAGUUUAUAUAUUAUCAUUAUUUGGAAAUAUUAAUUUGUUGUGUUAAUUGUCUAUUUCUAAUUAAUUUGAAAAUGAAUCUUAAUUUUUUAUCAUAAAAAUUAGUAUCAUAUUUUUUAUUUUCUUUACAAGUUAUCAACUUAAAUACUAAUAGGAGCAACAUAAUUUUAAUUUCCAUUUUAUUUUUUAAAUAAUUUUAAGUGUCAAAUUUAAGCAAUCAUAAAAAUACUCACGUUCAAUAUAAUCUUUUUAAAAAAUAAUUCAUGAGAUCACUUAAAUAAUCUACAAAAAAAUAUAAUUUAUUCUUGUGCCAAAUAAACAACAAAAGAAGUCUUGCAUUAUUAAAUUCAAGUCUUCUAUUACAUGAAAUUUGAACCUAUAACUAAUUUUAAAUGAUCAAAUUUUUAGUAUUCAAAAUAAAAGAAAAGAAAAAAAAAUUGUCUUCUAGACAAACCACAGACAACUCCACCAAAUCCAUAUCAAGGUCCCCACUUUUUCAACUUGAAUCAUAGGCCACUCCAUCAAAUCUAUGCCAAAGUUUCUUAUCAUUGACAACAAAUGUUGAGAGUUAAGUCAAGCAUGAAAAAAAAUAGGGUAAAAUAUAUCAUUUCUAUCCCUAUAAAAUUUUAAUGUGCUACUUUUUUUUUUUAUCCUGAGUUAAGUUUGGAUGAUAGAUAAUUAUCAUGUAUUCUUAGAUUUUGGUGUCAUUUUAGGAUAUUUAUGUGAUAUAUGUCUUUUAUGCUUUUUUAUUGUCAUGAACUAAUCUUCUCUUUUGUUGGAGUUGAAUAUAAUUGGUUCAUUUUUCAUGUAAUGACUAUUUUUUUAUUGAAUAAAGCAUUCUAAUUGUUUCUCUUCUAUGUUUAAUAUGUGUUUUUGGCUUAAUCACCUUGUUUGUAUGAUUUUUUUUAUUCAAUUGUAAUUAAAAAAUUCUUUGAACUACGAAUUGCAAAAAACACCUAAUAAUUUUUAUGUCUAGGAAUAAGAUAAAAAGAAUUGAGCAUCAAUAAACACUUUAUCUUAAUGAAAAUCAUUUAGUUAUAUUAAUUUAAGGGAUUGAUAGUGUAAUCAAGGGAUUUAGGUCUCUUCACUAGGAAUUAAAGUGAAGAUAAUAUGAUGGGUUUAUGAUAAUAUAACCUUUAUUAAAUAUGAAUGUGUAGUUAUUAGGUGAUAGAAACUUCAAUGAAAUUAAACGCCAACAAUUUUUUCAUUGAUUUAACCCCAACAAUUACAUGGGGUGUUUGUUAAAAUUCCCAAACAAUUUUUUUUCCUUAAUUUUUUUCUUUUAUUUUCUUCUUUAGUUUUCUUAUUUUUAUUUCUUCCUUUAAUUUCUUUAUCUUUAUGCAUAUUGUUAUUUAAAUCAAAUUAGCUAAUGUUAAUUAAUUUCAAAUAUUCAUAGUAUAGAAAUUAUACUUUUUAUUACCCAAUUUUAUUACCCAAUUAUUGCCUAAGUCCUGUUAAUGAGUAUUAUAGAAAAAAUGCACGAAUAGCGAGAGAAGGAAGAUGUGGAAGGGUUUAGAAACUGCAGAAUCCUAUGCAAGCUCCAACUUUCUACACUAAUUAAAUUCAUUCAGGCAAAUUCUAAGUUACACGUUGCGUAAAACAAUCUUCUUAAAUCCAAUCACCGAGUGUGUCAUUCCAGGUAUUUUAAUGCUAAUCAUUGUUAGUGCACAGAUAGUAGAAGACAAUAAUGCGUCAUAAAUACAAAACAGAAUUUGAUGCUCAAGUCUGAAGCUCGUCUAGUUCUCUUAACAUUAAGAACAUUUAUUACCAAUGAAAGCAAAACAAACAGACACCCCAUACGAACAUGUACAUAGUAUGGUAAACCUUUUCACAUUUUUAAUGGCUAGACUAACACGUUGUAAUGUCUCUCACUCCUAACAGUUAACAUGUAAACUCACAAUUUCCCAAGUAACCUUCUUACCUUCAAAACUAUUAUCACAUAAAUCAGAUCUCUCAAGUGGUCAAGAUAAUGAAAAUAAGCACGCCUCCAAGUUCUGUUGAAGAAAACAACACUGCAAAACCCCCAAAAUCCUGCUGCAAAUCCAACUCCCAUACCCAUAUAAAACUCUGAUGUUCCAAAGAAAUUACCAUCACCGUGUCAAACAGAAGCAGUCUCUGUCAACUCUUCCUUGUCUGUGCAAUUUUUUGUUACAGGAGGACCACAAAGCUCAGGAUUUCCAGUGUAGCUAAGUUCUUCAAAGCUCUGAAGUUGGGUGCUCGUGGGAAUUCUGCCUGAUAAGUUGUUGUAUGAUAGAUUCAGGACACUGAGGAAGGACAAAUCAGAUAAACUUUGAGGGAUUUGACCUGAAAUGUUGUUUAGUGAGAGAUCAAGGGAUUCUAACAAUUUCAUUUUUCCCAUGUCAUUUGGUAUCCCUCCAGACAGAUGAUUUCUAGACAAGUUCAAAAACCGCAAAGCAGAUAGCUUGGAAAUUUCAGAUGGAAUUGCUCCAGACAGCUUAUUACUUGAAAGAUCAAUCAUUCUCACCAAUAUCAAAUUGUCUCUGUACUCUAACUCAUCUCCUUUGGGAACUAAGACAAGAGUUUCCUUGUAGUGGUUAUAACUGAAGUCAGAGCCAUAUGAAUAACUUGAAGGGUUUGCAAAGAAGUCAUCUUCACCAGCCAUUGUUUUCAUGUCAUCCAAACAAUUUGGAAUGGAUCCUGACAGGCUGUUAUUGCCAAGAUCCAGCACUAUAAGGGAAGAAAGUUGACAAAUCUUUUCAGUGAAUGCUGCCAUUGAAAUUGUUGGAUCUUAGACGAAGAACCAUUAGAUAUUGCAUUUCCCACAUCCAAUCUGGUAUUGUGUCAGAAAGUUGGUUAUUGCCCAUGUCAAUGAAUUUCAUUGUAGAGCAAUUUUGCAGUGUUGAAGGAAUAUAUCCAGAGAAGCGGUUGUCGUCUAACAACAAAGACUCAAGUUGAGAUAGAUACCCCAUGGAGUUUGGAAUAACACCAGACAAAUUGUUACUACCCAAGUUCAAAUGCACCAAAGCUUGCCAAUGCACCCAACAGUGACCAAGAUCACCAGAUAAGACAUUAUUUGAAAAAUCAAGCACACUUAAAUUAUUAGUAGCAUUUUCCUUUCCACAUAAAAAGGGAGAAAUUGUUCCGGAAAUUGAGUUAUUGGCAACAUUCAGCACUUCAACAUUUGCAGACACACUUGGCAAUGUACCCUUGAACAAAUUAGAACUCAAAUUUAUGAGGCUGGAAUUGAGAAAGAUGUUAGAUAGGUCUCCACUUAACAGAUUGUUGGACAGAUCCAGGAAUUCAGUUUGCAAAGUCCAAUUCCAAAACCAACUUGGAACCAAGUCUGCAAUACCUGCCUUAGACAUUGUCAAAACCUUCACAGAACUUUGCCUUUUUAGUCAUUCUGGAAACUUAGGACCUAUUCCAAAGGAGCUCAGUAAAACAUAUUCAAGCUGAAAAGGAGGAACCCAUCCAGAGUUGACACUGAGGAACAAGUUUGUCCAAGACAAACGUAGUUCCUUUAAUUUCAAAAGUUUUACAAAAUUUGACUCUUUUAUAGAUCCUUCUAACAAAUUAGAUGAAAGGUCUAACAUCACUAAAUUUGAGAGAGUUCCAAGAGUUACAGGCAUAUCACCAGUCAAAGAAUUAGUUCCAAGAUUUAAUACCUGCAGGUUUCUGAGGAACUCAAAACUCUUAGGAAUGGUUCCAUUCAGUCGGUUGUGAGCCAGGUUUAAAGUUCUCAAGGAUGACAAGUUUGCAAAUGGUGAGGGAAUUGGACAAGUAAAGGUAUUAUUACUGAGAUUUAGAACUUCAAGAUGCUUAAGCUGGCCUAAUGAAUCUGGAAGUGGCCCACUGAGCUGGUUGUUCUGCAGGUCUAGAUUUUUUAUGUUCUGAAGGCUUGAUAUUAUUUGUGGAAUUUGUCCCUGUAAAAGGUUACUGUGUAAAUCAAGUUGGACAAGAGUUGUGCUGAGGUUAAAUAGCCAUGAAGGGAUUUGCUGAUUGAGAUUGUUAAUUGAAAGAUCAAGGACUUGGAGAUGUGUGAAGUUGGCUUUUCGUUUUGGUGGUCCUAAGUUAUCAAUUUGACAGCUCUCCAAGUGUAGUUCUGAAAGAGAUGGAAGUGCACUCAGUACUUGAAGCCAGUUACCUUGUUUAUGAAGGUCUGAACCACUCAAAUCAAGGUACUCCAAGGAAGAUAGCCUUGAUAUCCAAUUAAGGUUAUCUAUCUGAAGAGCAUAAUUGUAUCCAAGAUUAAGGUGCUGCAGGUUUGAGAGGUUUCCUAGUUGAUGAGGGAUUAAUCCCAUGAACCCACUUAAGCUAAGGUCCAAGUAUCUCAGACUCUCCAAUGAGCCUAGGAAGCUUGGUAUUGGAGUAAGAACAAAAUAAUUUGAACUCAAGUCCAAACGAUUCAAAUAUUUUAGUUCAAGCAAAGAAGGACUAAUCUCUCCACUCAACUCCCUAUAGGGAGAGCCCGCAGGUGUGUCAAGAUUGAUUUCCAUGACUUUACCUGUGUUGUUGCAGUGAACCCCUGGCCAUGUACAGCAAUCCGAUUUGUCAGACCACGAUGAAAGCCUGUUUGAAGGGUCUGCUAGUCCAUGCUUGAAGCUGAGGAGUGCAUUCCUUUCCUUCUCGCUGCAAGUCAUAUUGAGCCUUGCUGCCUUGCUUGCACUGAAGUGGAGAGUUGUUGCAGUGGACAAUAUCAAGAGAAGAACAUGAGUUGCAUAUAGCACUGCCAUGAAGAAGAAGGAAAACGAAAAAGGUUGAAUCCACAAUUUUCUGGUUCACGGUUGGUAUUUACUACUAACAAUGCCUAUAUAGGAUAUAUACCAUAGAAGGGUUUGCAUUUAAAAUUUUAUUCCACUAAUGGUGGUGGUUGCAAAAUGCACACAUAUGUAGAGGUAUAUAUGUCUACAAGGAGACAUUUAGGAUUAAAAGUGUCUAACCACACCACCAUUAUUUUGCUCUAGUUUAUUUUAUUUUGAUUUAAUUACCCUUUUAGUCCUUAUAAUUGUGAUAAUUUUUUUUAGUCUCUAUAGUUUAAGACAUUCAUUUUGGUUCUUAUAUUUACAAUUUUUUUUAUCUUUUGGUCCUCGAGGGGAAGAUUCAACUCACACAUAAACAUGAACAAAAUUAAUAAAAAUAGGGAAGCAAGCUCAGGUACAAAUGAAGUGUAAUGGAGGUAUGAGACAAAGCCACUACACAUUCCAUUAUUCUUGAGUCUGCCACCGACCUCUGCAAGCUUAGCAUUUGCCAAUUGCCAUGAUGUAAUCUCGUUCUUGACAGUCUCUCAUCAAGUUGGAGUGGUAUCACAGCAUUGAACUAAGUUGAUCGUUCCAUGGGAUGAUGGUUUUGAUUGCUGCAGAUAAAGUGUGUGAUUGUGAGUUUCUGGUCCCAUGAGUUAAACUAUAAGGAUUAAAAAAAAUAUUGUCAUAACUUUAAGGGCGAAAAAGAUAAUUAAACCUUUUAUUUUUUUUAACAACGGGUUAUAUAUAUGUAGCAGUUUAUUCUAAACAAUGGACUACGUGUGAAAUCUUUGAAUUCUAUGUAAGAAAUGUUAUUUCAAACUUCUCAUCAGUCUUCAUGUCAAUGAUGACAUGCUCCAUUUGAAUUCUAUGUCUAAUUAAGCUCUCGGUCUUCGUUUUUGCAACUUUAUUUCGUAGAAAGAAGCCAAAUUUGAAGAUACAACAUUUGAUACUAUAACUGUUUGGUGUUUUGAAAAUCUCACUCACAUAUUUCCAAAUGUUACAAAAGAAUUUGAUUCAGUGGUUAUUACGAAUUCCUUCCUAGCCUUUUUUACCAAGUCAGGGAAUUUGCAUUGUUGUGCAUGAUGGCUGCCACAAGGACCCUUGUACCAACCCAUUAGUGCAAGUGGUUUUUUCUUAUGAGAAUUGAGAAACAAAUUAUAUGUGUUUUAUUAAGGGAAUUCUAUUAUUUUUAAUUUUGAACUUGUAAUGUUUUUUGUUUCCCUCACAGAACAAGUGAUGAAACUCUUGAUGAUCGACGCCAUACGUACGCCUACUUUGAUGCUCUUUUUUCACACCACUUUUAUCUUAAUGGUAUCUCAAGUUGACAAUCAUAAAUUAAAAUAGCUAACUAUAGUUGAUUAGUAGAGACAAACAGCUCAAAGAUAAAGAUCUUUAAGCCAUCAUUUUUUUUUCCUUUUCUUUUCUAUGAGCUGUCAUUUCUUAUCUCUACAUGGAAUGUCUAGAAGUUGAAAAUUACUUGAGCUUUCUUUACCUACUGCUUUCCAUUUUGGCGAACUGCUUUUCUUUCUCAUAAUGAACUUUCCACUUCCAAUGAUGGUUGAACAUUAAUAAUUCUUCAUCUAUUUUGUCUAAAAAUUUCCACUCACUUUUUUUAGUGGUGUUAAUGUCAUGCAGACAAAUGAUGUCCAAGCUCCACUUUUUCCAUUCAUUGCAAGUUGCAAGCAGAAUGUAGAAUGUACGUAUAAUAAAAUAAUGAGAAUGGCAACUGCUAUAAGUACUACUUAAUUAGAACAAAAGUAUCAAAAUUAAAACGAAAAUAACUUUGAUGCUGUUAAUAUAUGAGUUUAAUUUUGAUAGAUAGUGUAAAAAUUUAAAUUGUUUAUUAAUUAGAAAUCACCAAAUGAUUUGUAAAACAAUUAGUAAAAAAGUUAUAAGAAAUAUAUAUAUAAUUAAUUAAUUGCAAAUGAAAGUGUAUUUAAAUUAAAUUCUUAAUUAACAUAUCCUUAUUGUGAUAUUUUGUAUAUUUUUUAUUUAAUUGAGACAGUGGAAUGAGACCGCACUAUAAUUUUCAUCACGGGUUGUAUUGUCUAAUAUAAUAGGGAUGGUUGGUGAGGAAUUUUGGAAUGUUAGUUGGUUUUAGACUAUAUAUCCUCUUGUUCAGUUUUCACAUUCUCAUUAGAGUUAAGUUGCUUUUGGGGAAGAACCAAUGUCUUGAAAUUCCCUCUUCACCAGAAGCAGUUUUAUUGUGUCUUUAUCGAAGUCAUCUUCUCCAGAGACUUGCCUUUAACUUUGAAGAUAGGAAAUAGAUCAGUCAAACAUUGUUUCAGUUUAUUUGGAUUUUAUUUUAAGGACAUGUGAUUUACAAAGACUUCUUACAACUCACAACCUUUGGAAUUUCUCUAUGCCUGGUUAACCCACAAUUUCUGGCGCCUGUUGCGGUUAGGAACAUAGGCUAGCAAAAACACUAAUCAUUUCAAGAGAAAUGUUAACACACUUUUCUAAUAUAUUAUUUUUUAUAUUAAAAUUUAUUAAAAUAAAAAAUUCAGCUGAUCUCAUAUUUUAUUUAGCAAAUUUUUCCCAUAUAUUAAGUCUUAGGUUUUUAAAAUUAUAAAGCUAAAACUAAAAUGUUUUACUAAAUGUAUUUUAAAGUAAAUUUUACACACAAAAAUAUUAUGAUUUUAUAAAAAUUGUUUGGUCAAGGGAGACAUAUUGAGCCAUAGAAAUACUAAGUUAUGGGCAAGAUUUUGAUAUACUAUAACCUUAAUUUUUACAAUAAACCUAAAUGUCUAAAUAUCAUAACUCAACCAUGCGACGAAAUGACAAUGUGUUAAUUUUGUUGUGUCCUCAACCAUGCGUAUGCCUCAGGCCGAGGGAAUUCUCACACACCACUCCUAACAAUUUCUAAGGAAUUCCACAACGUGUCUAUGCUUCAGACAACAAUAACGUACCAAAUAAACAAGUAGCAUCUAAUAAUGUUAAAAUAAGCACACAUAUAUCGAGCCAACCAACGUUGGAGGUAGAAGAACAACAAUAAUAUCAAUAUUUAAUUUCAUUUAGUGUUAAUUUAUUCGGAACUCAACGUAAAAUAACAAUUUAAUAGAAAACAAACAGAGUAUUUAUUAAGAAUAAAAAUAUAUUUAAUUUCAUUUAGUGUUUAAUAGUGUUUUGGUCUAUGUUUUUUUUUUUGUUUUUUUAUAGUUAUUUCUUUUCAAAUUUGAUGACAACAUUGUCAUUGGGUCCUUCUACCCUUCACAUCAGCAAAUUGGACACUAAAGAGACUCGGUCAGAAACAAAUAACUACUAGGGGUACAAUAACAUGAGAGGAUUUAACACUUUUGGAGUAGGAAAAUGUACUUUAAGAAAAGAAAAUUAUAUGUUUAUCCAUGAACACUAAGCUCUAGAGAAAAAAAAAACCACGAGAAAUAGUAUAUAACUCUUUAGUGGACAAUUGGUGUUGUACAAAAUUGAAAUGAUCCAGACUAAGUCAACAAACUGGUCUUCUUCAUUGAACUCACAGUGAAACCACAGAAUUUAUUUUCAUCUGCUAGUUUCCUUCCCAAUUCCCAUGUUUUCUAAAACAUAACACACUACAGAACCUUCUAAUAAAUUAAAACAAAAAAAUCAAUAUUUUACAUGUAGCACCACAACCUAACAAUUUCUACCUACAACUUUUUCUAUAGACUAUAAUAUAAUCUAUCUCCACUCAAUCAUUCAUCAAGAUUGAAAAAUGGAUUCAAAUGCUUGUCUACCACACUUGCUAGUGUUAGCAAUAACAUUGGUAUUGGUUAGUCAUGCAAUGGGAGAUUCAGCUAAAGACAAGUGUUGUCUCUUUGCCUUUUAAGUUGUACAUAGUUGCAAAACAGGUAUAUGUGAAAGAAUAAUGCUUAUUAAAGGUAAGGUUGAUUUUAAAGUGGGCAUGCAAGAAUGCAUUCAUUAUCUCAAGUAAAUAAAUUCAAGCGAAUAUCUGAUUUGGAUUAGAGAAUAGUAUUAUCCAGUGCACACUAAAUUGGAGAGAUUCCCAACAUGUGGUUUCAAAACUAAAAGUACUUACCAACUAUUUGAAUUUUAAUCUACGUGAUCUAGCUAAUGUUUUCUAUCAGAGAAUUACAACUAGUUGAUCUUAAGAACAAAACUAUACUAAAUAUGCAAAUCUUUACAUCUAAAAACAGAAUUUAAAUAAGGCUCUCAAAUUUGAAGAAAAAAAAGAAGAUAGCAAUGACUACAAAUUGAUCAAUCUGCCAAUACAAUGAUAAAACAUCGGUUUAUUCUAAGCAACACUAAAAAGGGAUACUACAUUAGCAAAAAGAUUGAAAUUAUUGACCAUGCAGUAUGAAUGUACAGCAUUAUUUAUUUAAUUUUUCUAAUACGAUUUUAUUUUAUAUUAAUACAAAAACUCUCACAAAACAACUUCUUAACUACUAGUUAAUUACUACUUUUAUACAUAAAAAAACUAGUUAAUUACUACUGCUACAUAGCAGAAAUUCCUUAAUUCUUCGAGAAUUAUAUUCCUUAAUUUCACGUGGUUUGCCUCAGUUGUUUGCCGCAGGUUUCAGUAUAUCCUUAGGAAUCGUCGAUUGUCAAAUCGUUGUUAAAUAACGGCGCUAUAUAUAAUUUUAGUAUUUUGACGUUUUUAAAUGAAUUUCUUAUUUAUGAUUAUAUAUUUACAAUUUUUAAUUUCACUUAAAAAAAAGAGUUUUUUUGGAUUUACAGAGAAAAAAAAUAGAGUUUUUAGUUAACACACUGUUACUAUAUAGUGCGGAGACAAUUACCCCACAAGCUUUUCAUUAACUUGUCAUAAUAUAAUAUAUGUGAAUACAAACUGUCCCUAUAAUUUAAAAUAAAAUAAAUGAAAAGUCAAUAACUUUAUAAGUAUUGUCUCCACACAUAUAUAUUAUCCUAUAACUUACAAUUUUAAUAUUUAUUAUUGAUAUUCUUAAUUAACUAAGUAAAAAUAUUUUUUUUAUAAUUUUUAAGAUAAUUAUUAUAAAUAUUAAUAAAUUUAUUAUAAAUAACAUUUUUAUAUGUGUAAGUGCAUGUAUAUUAUUUAUUGAAAUAUUUUAUUUGAAUUUUUCAUUAAAAAUACUAAAUUUAUUAACAUGAUAUGUGCCUCGUUAGAGCAGUGGUUUAAUUAAAUUGGAUAGUGAGAACUGAAUUGACGACAGAUUCUCUUUCCAUAUGUGAUGAAAGAGUUGUACGAAAUCUUUAUGACAUCAACCCCCAACAUGAGUGGCCCAGUGGACAAGCCCAUCAAUCUAACAUGUCGGUUGAUAGCACUUGCAUAAACUUUUGUUCCUUGCAUCAUCUCAUGUGUCUCCAUUCUCCAUUCUCUGCUUCCACUCACGAUUAAACCUUAUUGAUUAGGGUUCAAUGAUUUUUCAAUGAAUAAAAUUAAUUUUGAAUUCUUGAUUCUAACAGCUCACGUAUAGUCUGUUGAAUCAAAUGGAUUAGACUCUUGAUAUCAUAAAGAAAAUUAAAAUUUGAUUCUUUGUGUAAAAUAAAGAAAUCUAAUUAAUUAUGCUUGUUAUGUUACUAUAUCAUUUUUCCGGUGUGGAAUAACAUCAAAAUCAAAGUAAUAAAGUUACUUGCAUGUUACUCUAACCAUAAUUCCAGUUAAGUCGAAUAUGGUUUCAUGUUUUGUAAAACAAUUUAGAUCCCCUUUAUCAAAGUGUGUCUGUCUUCUACACAAGUUUUUUCACUUUAUUCUAUUUCCCCAGAAUCAAUUGUUGUGUUAUUCAUGCUAUUAAAUUAGUUCGAUAACUACCAUGUCGAUCAUUGUUAGUUUUGUUUCCACCAUUGUUGGGAAUACGUAUAUACUAUUACUUUAUGAUUAAACGUGUUACUUAAAUUGCAGAAAAAAACUCUUUAUAAUGAAGUACAAUUGUUUAUAACUACAACAAUUAUAUUGAGUCAAUUUAACACUCAUCAAAGGCAGAAAAGCUUUACUUUAAGAUUAGACAGAGGCUCAUACCAAUCAUGGCGGUGGUUAUAAUUAGACACAUCAGCAACUGUAAAAGAUCUUGCACGGCCACAGAAAAAAAAAAUGCUUGAUGCACAUCUGAUAAACUCACUCAAGGUCUAUGUAUUAAUAGUGUAAAAGAGAGACUGAAUAUUAAAUGAUAAAAAUAUAAAAUAAUUGUUUUGUAUUGGCAGAGUACACAUAUAUAUGCCCAAAUGUAGAUUCAAAGUUCAAACAUUUUGGGACUAGAUCAUCCCUCCUAGUCAUAGCCAUCUGAAUUGGAUCGACCCCACCCCAAGGUUUGUGUUGCAUCACUUGCAUGCAUUCACCCACCACUGUUGUUGUUAUAGUUUUCUCGUGAUUUUUGUAUUGGAAAAUACUAUGGACAAAUAUAAUUGAUACAGUCAUAAUUAAUUAUUGUCAUGUUGCAAUUACAAAGACUCCUCAAAGAAAAUGUUUAGUAAAUCAUGAUCAAGUAGAAAUUGCAAUGGCAAACUGUUUUUUAAAAUCUUAUUAGUCAGUUGUAUAAACCCAAAUUUAGUUAUAUCCAGGUAUGUAAUAUUUGCCAUUUUAGUGCUCUGUUUGGAAAUUUGCGUGUCGAAUUGUUUUUUUUAUACGUACCUACACAACACUCUUUAGCCAAAUACCACUGUUCAUGGAAAAAUCUGUCCUGAAAGGAGUAUAGAACCAGAAACAAUAUGCGUGGUGGUAUCUAUCAUUCUGAAAAAGAAAAAAAGUGGGAUUCUUACAAUAGUAGGACUGUGACACUACUAGAAAAAUCUAUGCACCUUUGAUGUCCCUAAAUUUAUGAACAAAAGAUUCAGGUGUCGUUUAUUGAAUUUGUUUUAUAUGGAGUGUAAAGUCAUAUUCAAUACUAAUAAGUGUAUGUUUAUAUAAUUCUUUUUAAAAUAAUUACUCUUCUUUAUUUACAUCUAAUAAAAAUGUUAUCACAUUAAAAUUUUUAAAAUAAGCUAAAUGAAGCAUGUUUCAUAAGAAAUUAACUUUUACUGUAAUUGAUACAUUUUUUAGUGACAAAGGGAGAUGGGUGAAGACGGUGAAGGAAAAAAAAAUGAAGAUAAUGUCUAUGUUGUUCAAAUAACAGUAUUAAUUGUAUUAAAAUAGUUAAUAUUAAAAAAUAUAUUAGUAAAUAUAACAUUGUUGUGUUGGUGCUAUUUAUUGUGCAUCAAAAUAUGUAAAAAUAAUAAUUAACUUAUAAUUUGUAUAGUUGGUAUGGGUUGUUUUAUCUAUCCUGGAUUUUGUUGAAUCACACAUAUAAUCAUUUAUAUAUAUAUAUGGGCUACUAUUGUCACUACCAAAAAUGCUAUGGAGACUACCAAAGCAUUUGAAAUUACUUGGUUAUCCUUAGUUCCAAUUCCCCACACCUCCUAUCCUUCCCCUCCUUACGUUCAGCUACUCUCCUUCUUUACAUACAAAAACAGAAUUUAAAUAAGGCUCUCAAAUUUGAAAAAAAAAAGAAGAUAGCAAUGACUACAAAUUGAUCAAGCUGCCAAUACAAUGAUAAAACUUCGGAGUAUUCUAAGCAACACUAAACAGUGAUACUACCUAAGCGAAAAGAUUGAAGUUUGAACCACACAUGAUCAAGGAAAUGAAAAUAGGCAUACCGCCAUGAUCUACAAAUCAGCAAAGGAGCAAUCACUAUCCAGAAUCCCACAAUAAAUCCAAUUGUCAUACUGACAAAAAACCAAUUCACUCCAUGCCCAUCACUUCCUUCAUAACUAUGGGUUUUCCCAUUGGAGCUGCAGUUUAUGGGCAGUGGUGGACCACAUAGAUUGUUGCCGAUGAAGCUGGAGGCAUCAAAGGUUUGCAAUUGAGUUCCUGUUGGAAUAUUUCCCUUCAAAUGAUUGUAUGACAAGUCUAGCAUGCUCAGAAAGCUCAAAUUUGCAAUGCUUGGAGGGAUUUCACCAAAAAGUUGAUUCCUCGAAAAAUCAAUGGACUGUAAUGAUCUCAUAUUACCUAUACCUUGUGGAAUAUGACCAAUCAAUUGGUUGUGGGACAUGUUUAAAAAAUUCAAUCCAUUUAGAUAUGUGAUUUCUCUUGGUAUUUCCCCAAAUAACUUGUUACUUGACAGAUCAAUGCUUGUUACCAAACCCAGAAUGUUUCUGUACUCAUCUCCUCUUCCUUUCAGCCAUAGUAGCACACUAACUAUACUUUCCAUCGACGUACCAUGUUUUCCUUGAGAAUAGAUACGAGGAUCUGUACUUUGGUUCUUUAGUGUCAUGGCACUCAAGUUACUGAAACAGCUCGGUAUAUUGCCAGACAGAUUGUUUUGUGCAAGGUCUAAAACCUGAAGAUGACUCAUCUGACAUAUUUCACUUGGAAUGUGUCCGGCAAAUCUGUUUGAUCGAAGGCGGAGGAUUUUCACAUUUAGAUAGGUUUGUAUAACUCAAAUAAAGAUAGACCAAAUUGGAGAGAUUCCCAAUCUGAGAUGGAAUCUUCCCCAUGAAUCCAGUAUAAGAGAGGUCGAGGUGAGU